rnacentral:lncRNA from 1 species
UUUUUUUUUCUUUUUUUUUUUUGGUGGUCUUUCUAUCUCUGGCUCUUCAAAGAUUCUAUAUUUUUACAGUAGCCUCUCAAAAAUCAGUAUAAUAAAUUGUAGUCCAAAGAACUUAUUUGGUUAGCUUAAAGAAUAUACGUACACAAACAAAAUGAUUUGCAAAUUAAUGCAUAAGUUAAAGGUUCAAAGACUUGCUUCCUUGCCGACUACUGCUUGCUUAGGAAUGAUAACAGGUGGAAAUGGAAUAUAAGCUAUUAUUAAGAAAUUGUUUUUGCUUGGUUUUCACUUUUGUGUAGGUCAAGUUCUUGUGGCUUGCUUAAUCUCCAGAGCUAGCUGGCUGGUCGGCGCAUUUCAUCAGUCUCAUCAGUAUAAAUCUAUUGAUCAAAUCUCAAUUUGUCUUUGCUAAUUUUUCUUUUCCUAACCUAAGAAGUCUGGGUGUAAAUACACAAAUUUCGUUAACUUCAGAUUACAAUUUCUUUGACAUUUUGUUUAGGUAAAUGCAGCUCAAUGUACAUAUAUAUGCCGACUUGAAAAUCACUGUAAUAUUUACAAUGGUAAAUUACAUAUAACUCCCAUGUGGUUUCAUCUAUUACCACAUGACCCUCCUAACGUUUCAAAAUGUCCAUUUCAUACCCCUAUGGUUUUAUAUAAAGUGAAAAUUUGACAACAAACAACCUAUAUAACGUCGUUAGUUGAAAUAUCAAUAGUGCCCUAAUUAAUUAAAUGCUAAAUCAAUUGAUGGCUUAACCACUAUGUAUAAAAGCAUAGGAAAAUUAUGUGAAUAAAUGCAAAAAUCAUAUGUGAUAAAGUGGAUAUUUAUACAAAUCAUAAGGAGAUUACAUGGAUAAUAAAAUUUUAUCACAUGUGCUUUUAAAGCACAUUUGGUAUAAAUGCCACAAGUGAUUGUGCAUUUCGUCCAUUUUCCACUUUAUAUAAAACUAUAGGGGGUUUACGUGGAUAUUUUAAAACCUUAGGAGGGUCAUAUAGCAUUAUGUAAAACCAUAGAGGGUAAUAAGUAAUUUACCCUAUUUACAAUUGUUCUACUCCGUCUUGUAAUUUAAUAUUAGAUAUUGUCAUUUCCACGAUUCCAUCUUCAAGAAAUACAGCCAAUUCAUAUAGGGAAAAUAAAUCUAUCUCUGCACUUGCUGUUACUUACAUGUGCCUUAGCAGAACGUGUCUUUGGCAAACAAACAAUCUGCUUUGCCGGCCUAAAUAAUUUUUAGUUUGUCAUUUUCACAGCUUCUCUUUGUUUGUGAGCUGUUAGCGAGUCUUGUUUAUGUGAUUUUGUCUUUCAAAGAAGGCUCAUGUCAUAUAAUAAACUGAGGUUUUUCUGCAUAUGCUUGGCACAUGCAAGUCUACUCAUAGAACAUUAAGCACUGAUCAUUUUCAUGUCUUAAUUAAAUUUCUUAAUCUAAUAGACAAAGGAAGACAAAGUGGCUGUGGCUGUGGCUAGGUUCAUCUUCAACUUUCAAGAUGGAUAACAAUAGCAUAUUGGUCAUUUUGCCUGUGCACUGAAGAAAUUAAAUAAAUAAAAAAAAAAGCUUCAUCCCAACACUAUUAGCCUUUCAAAGCACUGCUCUAAUUCUCCCCUACUGUGGACAAGAUCAACAUGAAGAUGAAGACAACACAACUCAUUGCAAUACUGUGGUGGGUCGUGGCGAUGAUGGCCCUGCCAAUAUUGGCUCAUGGCAGCAUUGAUCAAAGUCCUGAAGCCGUUAAAAAUUGGUUCAAAGAGCUUCGACAUGCAAAGGAGAAGUUGACAGAGCUUCACUUCUAUGUUCAUGACAGGGUAACUGCAGAGAGCCCCACAUCUGUGCUAGUUGCUCAAGCCAACGCUACUAGCAAAUCUCCCACGAUGUUCGGGGCAACCUACGUCUUCGAUGACCCGAUGACACUGGGACCUGAGCCCAGUUCCCAGAUCAUCGGUCACGCCCAGGGCAUAUCCAGUUCGGCAUCGAAAGAGGAUGAUGCUUCACAAAUUGCCAUCAUGAACUUGGUAUUCAACGAUGGCAAGUUCAAUGGUAGCACCCUUAGCGUUCUAGGUGAUUAUCCCUUCUUCCAGAAGUACAAGGAGAUGCCAAUAGUAGGUGGUUCUGGGGCUUUUCGAUUGGCCCGUGGAUUGGUUACAGCAAUAAUCUAUGCUUACAAUGAUACCACCCAGAAUGAAAUUAUCGACUUCCACGUCCUCGUUCUGCAUUAUUGACCUUGAUUUGAUGCCAUUUGUUGCUCGUACUUUCUUGUGGUUUUCUUUGUCGUAUAACAAAGAUUUCAUGUUAAGGAUAUAAUCCUUGGAUGAUACAAGAAGUAUUGAAGGUUUUUUUGUUUUUUUGUUUUCACUUCUACAGUUCUGCUUGUUUGGUCUCUUUGUUGAUAAUGUUGAUUUUCAGGUAAUAAAGAAAGCUUUUCCUUCUCUUUCUCCAUUAAAUUUUCCUUUUGGCACUUCUUACUUUUCCUUUUGUUUUAAAAAAAUCUAGUAUUAGUUUUUCUUUUCCCUUUUCUACCUUCAUUGCUUGUUUCAUGCUUCUAAAAGCUUAUUUUCCUUAAUAUUUUCUUAUUUCGUUUUCUUUCCUAAACGCAAUGAUAGUAAGGCGCUUAAUUGGGAUUUUUUUUUAAUCUAAUUUCUCUAUCAAGAUUUCCUAUCUAAUUUCAUACUAAGGGUGCAUUUGAUAAAACUGAAGUUUGAAAUCUAAAAUGUGAAGUUUGAAAUCUAAAAUGUGAAGUUUGAAUCCAUUAAGUUAUUGAAUUGUUAAGUAUUAAAUUUAAUACAUUUGAGUGCAUAUCACAUUCAAUGAUAAGUGAAUAGUUUAUCACUUAAUUUUAAGAGCAAGUUUUGCCUAAGAAAUUCAGUGUCAUUUAAUUUAGUUCAGAUGUUCAAUUUUUUAUUAUCAAAUGGUGUAAAUAUAUUAAUAUCUGAAUCCAUUAACUUUAAGCACUGAAUUGAAUUAGGAAACAGGGUCUAAGUCAUUAGUUUUUCAUUUCUCUUUUUUUUUUUCAAAACGGCAACUCAUCAUUCAUUAAACUAAACCAGAGUACAAUCUUUGGAGCAACUGCUCCAACAAUCUGCCUGAACCAAAUCAAGCAACCACGCUGGGAAGUCAAACUUCCAUUCAGCUGUUUUUUCCAAAUUUAUAGCAAACUUUGCUAUAUGGUGACUAACAGAGUUGCUCUCCCUUCUAGUGAAGGAAAAGCAACAUUCAUAAAAACUGAGCUUCAGCCUUUUAAUAUCUGAAAGCACAGUUGCAAUCUCUACAUCAUCUUCUUCACUAUUUAUCCUAUCAAUAACAUACUUACAAUCAGAUUCGAACUCCACCCUCCUCCACCCUUGUUGUUUGGCCACCAGCAUUGCUGCUCUUAAUGCUAAAGCUUCCUCCAUCUUUGGGGUUGAACAACUUGAGCCCGGCACUGCCCAAGCUCCCACUACUUCCUUCUGCCAGUCCCUUGCCACCAACCCCCAUCCUGCUUUCUCCUUGUCUUGUUGAACUGCUGCAUCAGAAUUUAUUUUCACCCAUGCCUCACCUGGUUCCUGCCAUGCACCUGGUUCCACCUUCCCCUCCCCUCUAACUCUGACUAAAUCUUUUUCCUCCAUCUGCACCUCCUGGAACUCUCUCCAUUCCCCAAUAGCUUUUUGGACCACUCCCAUGGGAUCCCUGGCUUUUGCUUCAAACUGUCUCGCAUUCCUUGACUUCCAUAUCUGCCAUAACAAGUUCACAGUCACACCAAUACGCUCCUGCCCCAUCUUCCCCUUCACUGCAUCCUUCAGCUCCUCCCACCAAUGCCAGAAUUUAUACCUAUAUGUCUCCAGCCCCUCCCAACUAACUGGCGCCACUUCCCAGAUGGCCUUUGCAUGGUCACAAAAAAACAGCAAGUGCUCUAAAGUCUCUGUAUGUUCCCCACAACACCUGCACAUAUGAUCCCCCUUGGAGCACCUUGCCUUUACAGUUGCGUUCACUGGCAGGAUAUCUUGUAGACACUUCCAAAGGAAGUGUUUCAGCUUCUGUUUUAUAUUCAACCCCCAAAGAAAGCUCCAACUCUGAGCUGAGCAUCUCCUGUUACUGCUAGAUUCAACAUUCCUCCCAACAGGAGCCCUUCUCUUUUUAAUGCAUUUAGCCAGUUUAUAACCUGACUUAACUGUAUAUUCCCCCGUAUUUGACUUUCUCCAGUAUAACCUAUCUUUCAUACUACAUACACUUAAAGGUAUUCUCAGUAUCUCCUUCCCUUCCUUCUCAUCAAAAACCUGUGCAAUCAGUUCCCUAUCCCACUUGCCAUUAUUUAUAAGAUCACUCACCCUCUGAACAACCACCUCCUCAGUUCUUGGAGUCUUCACUCUCCCAUCCUCUGUGUCUGGUAACCAUCUAUCUUCCCAAAUAUCAAUUGACUUGCCAUCCCCCACCCGUUUCCUGACCCCCUCCUCCAACAGUUCCCUCGCCCUCAAUAAACUUCUCCAGUACCAGGAAUCAGUACCAUGGCCUUGCAUUGCCCAAAUUGAAGUCCCUCUAAAAUACCUUGCCCUCAUGACCUUACUCAUCAGCAAAUUUGGCUUAGUUAAGAUCCUCCAGAGCUGCUUUGCCAGCAAAGCCAGAUUGAACUCCUGCAACUCCCUAAAGCCUAAACCCCCCUCACCCUUCCCCUCAGCCAACUUCCCCCAGUUCAACCAGUGAAUUCUCUGCUCCUUCUCCUUUGAACCCCACCAGAACUUUGCCAUUUCAGAACUAAUCCUCCUACACAAGUCCAUAGGUAUCAAACAGCAGGACAUCACAUAAAUGGGCAAGGCCAUGAGAACUGACUUGAUCAACACCUCUUUACCAGCCUGGCUCAACAAUUUCUCCUUCCAUCCCUUCAACCUCGCUAUUGUUUUCUGACAGAUAUACUCAAAAGUCUGUCUUUUGGAUCUCCCAAUGACUAAAGGUAGCCCCAAAUACCUACUUUGUUCAACCUGCUUCAUCCCUUGCAGUUCUCUCAUCACCCCUUCCUUAUGUCUACUCAUCACAUUCCUGCUAAAAAAUAGAGAAGAUUUCUCAAUAUUGAUCAGCUGUCCAGAGGCUUUUCUGUAUACCUCUAAGAUUCUCCUUAGCUGCUCAGCCUCCAAAACAGAUGCUCUACAGAAAAUCAGAGAGUCAUCUGCAAAAAACAAGUGAGACAGCCUAGGAGCCUUCCUUGCAAUCUUUAACCCAGACAGCUUGCCCUGCACCACAGCUUGAUUCAACAAUGAUGAGAAACCUUCAGCACAUAUCAGAAAUAGAUAAGGAGACAAAGGAUCUCCCUGCCUCAAACCUCUUGUUGGCCUAAUGAAACCUCUUUUCUGACCAUUAAAGUUUAUAGCAUAAGUAACACUAGAAACACACUGCAUCACCCACUGAAUCCACUUAGGACAGAAACCCAUUUUCCCCAUAACUUUUGCCAGAAAAGUCCACUCUACUCUAUCAUAGGCCUUUGACAUAUCAAGCUUAACAGCCAUAAAGCCUUCCCUCCCAGAUCUUUUGUUUUUUAGGAAAUGAAUGUACUCAUGAGCAAUCAGGACAUUAUCCAGGAUCUGCCUACCAGGGACAAAAGCAGACUGUGCCUUACUAAUACAAAGAUUCAGAACCAACUUUAAUCUAUUGGUGAUCACCUUGGCAAUUAUUUUGUACAACACAUUACACAGGCUUAUAGGUCUGAGAUCUGCCAUAGUGCUAGGGGGAACAGAUUUGGGGAUAAGACUAAUCAGAGUCUCAUUAAUGGACUUAAGAAUGAAACCAGAAGCAAAGAAACUAUUGACAGCAUUACAGAUAUCAGUUUUUAAGAUUGACCAAAACUUUUGAAAGAAAAUUGGGGACAUACCAUCUGGUCCAGGGGACUUAUUUGGAUGCAUCGAAAACACAGCUUGACUGAUCUCCUGCUCUGUAACCUUCCUGGUAAGCUCCCUGUUCAUCUCAUCAGUAAUGGUCUGUGGAAUUCCUUCUAAAAUCUCAGAAAAAACCUCAGGUUCCUCUGUCGUAUAAAUCUGCUGAAAAUAGUCCAGAAUCUCCUGGCAUGUUUCCUCCUCAUCCUUACACCACUCUCCAGACCUCUUCUGUAGCACACCUAAUCUAUUAAUCCUCCUCCUCCCAGCCACCGUGGCAUGAAAAUAACUGGUGUUCUUAUCCCCUUCUUGCAACCACUUCACCCUAGCCUUCUGACUCCAAUAUAUCUCUUCCCUUUUAUAAGCCUCUGCCAGUUUCCUUUUUAGACUUGCCAACUUGAUCCUAUACCCAUCACCUUUACAUUCCUUAACCUCUUUGAUCUCCUGCUUCACUUUUCCUAUCAUACUCUUAGAAUUACCUCCCAUCUGCUUGCUCCAACUAAGCAAAUCCACUCUAACUUCCUUUAUUUUUGCCUGAACCAUGAACAACCUGGAUCCCUUUUGCUUACUUCCCCAAGCUCUAUCUACCACCUCCUCUACAUCACUAUUUUGCAGCCAUCUCCUGUCAAACAUAAACCUCCUCUUCCCUUUUUUCCUAACAGGCUUAGUAUCAAACAACAAGAUACAGUGAUCAGAAGCCUCUACCUCUAUAUGUGCACAACUUGCCUUCUCAAACUUCCCUAUCCACCCUUUACUUCCCAAAAUCCUAUCUAUCCUUUCCUUCACCUCCCCCUCCCUGUUCCAAUUAUUGCACCAAGUCCAAGGGACUCCCUCAGCCCCAAUGUCCACCAACUCAUUUUCAUUUAUAAAAGAAUUAAAAUCUUGAAAACUCACAUUAGCUCUUUGUCUACCACCCCACUUUUCAACAUUUGAUCUGAUGUCAUUCAAGUCUCCCAUAAUUGCCCAGGACUCCCCCCAGAUACACCUCCUCCUAGCAAUAACCUUCCACUGUUCUCUCCUAAUACUAGCAUCUGCACUAGCAUAAGCACAGAUGCACCACCAUUCAACCCCUCUUUCACUAUCAUCUAUAAGUAAUUCUAUAGUGAAACUGGUAAACAACACUUUUUUAACCUUUAACUCCUGUUUCCAUAGCACUGCCAAACCUCCCGCCAACCCAACUGGAUCAACCACAAAGACAUUAUCAAACUGAAUCCAUUGCUUAACACUGUUCAAAAAGCUUUUUUUCUUUUUUGUUUCAGCCAAAAAGACCAGAGAUGGAAAGUGGAGUCUUACGACCUCCCUCAACUGGGGAACUGUCAAGGGGCUCCCCACACCUCGACAGUUCCACACCACAGCCCUCAUUUGACACUUGGAGCCCCAAUAAGGGUGGACUCCAACCCCUCAGCAAGUUCCAUCUCCUCACAGUUCCCACCAUCAGACUUUAUUUUCUUCAUAUUUUCCUUCCCUUCCUGAUCCUCUUUCCCCUCCCAUUCCACAGUCUCCAUCUUCCUUUUUCCCUUCUCCAUCCCCCCCUCCACCUGAUUGACUUCCACUAGGGGUCUUCUCUUACUAACUUCCAGAACCAAUCUUUUCCAGGUUUUGUUUGUCCUAUCAGAACCUUUCUUUCUACCCCCCUGCUUCCCUGUCUUCCUCCUUUCCUCCAUAGCCCCCCUGUUCCCUAUCCUCUCCCUUUCAUCCCCCAACCCCCUCUUCCCAUCUCUCUCCCCAUCAACCCACAUAAGGUCAGUCAACUCAUCCACUAACCCCUCCCCCUGGCUCACCCCCUGUGUCAUCACCUGAAUACUAACCCCUCCGGUUAGCUUUUCAUUUCUCAUUAAUCUUUUUGCUUGUCCCUAUUCUCGAUUACAAGUUCUACUUUCAUCAGAUGAAAGGGGCCAAAAUAAUAAAAAACUGCAACUCCAAUUCUUUCAUUAAAAAGGCAAAUCUGGAGCUGCAAAGAGUCUUGCGAAAGGUAGAAUCCACAACUUGAUGGCAAAGAAUCAAAAUUCUAAGGAAUAGGACGUUAGGUGGUGAAAAACUUUUACAAGGCAGAUAAAAGGCAAAAGAAACCAAAAUACCACACACUUAUUUUGCAUCAGAGUCAUCCUAUCUUUACAAAUUCUCUUUUUUUAGAAAAAUGUUACACAACUCUUUUCUAAUCUAAGUUACUUCCCAGUUCCCAACUUAGAUCCUUUCCAAUCUUUAGCGGUGCCCAUGUCUCAUGCUCGGACAAAAUUCGCCUCGACAGGCCACUUCUCCUCUGCCUAUCCUGCAUGCUGAUGGUCGUUGGAAUCUUCAUCCAACCACUCGACCUUGCUCCCCAGGCUACUCGAGGAAAUUGAAUUGGAUUCACACCCUGCUUCUGAUCGGAUCAGUACGAUAAACAACUUUGUAUUAUCAAUCAUAUAUCAUCUUACAGGUGGUGUAAUUAUGGGCAAUCUCACCAAUGUGGGAUUUUACAUUUAUCUGAAGUCAUAUCCACUUGUCUGUCCUCUUUUUUCGACUAAACAGUUGUAAAUAUAUACAGGAGUAAAAUUGACAAUGCGGGGGCUUUGGAUGCUUCUGAUCUAUCAAGUUGUUCUCAGAUUUUUAUCGUAAACAUCGGGAUAUGAAGAGGGGUUGAUUGAGAAGAACAGGAAGAGGGGACGACAUUAGUAUGAUAGUAAGAAAGAAUGUUUCUUAUUAGACUUGGCUGAAACUUAAUUUCAGCCAGUCAUACUAGAAUAUCCAAAGCGUUCUUCUCGAAUCGCUCUAGUACGAUGGAAAGAUGUGUUAGAUAUUUUCAAAAUUUGAUCAGUUGCAAGACGGGGCAUCUUAGGAUCUGACAUAAGAUCCAUCACUGUUUGGUUCCUACAAUACUCAGAAGUUGUUCAAGUCUACUUGACACAUUUUCAUAUUUUUGAUAGUUAACUACUAUCUAAAUAGUGUUUAAACAUGCAAAAAUUAUGUGAACGCUUGCAUUGAUAUUGAGGAACAUUUUGACCAAUACAAAUACACAAAUCAGCGGUGAAAGGUUGCAACUCUUGGUCAUUUCAAUCUCAACUACAUAAAUGUCUGGUAGGGAUGGUUUGCUGCAGAAGAUCAAUUUCCUACUACUAGAAUUCUCUGCAAAAACACAACAUAGUUUAAGUAAGUUUGUCUAACUUUGUGCAAGAGUUAAGACAAAAUACCCUUCAAAUUAUUUUAAAGGAUAUUUGUCCAAAACCUUUGAAUACAAAAUUUUUGAUAAAUAAAGUCUAAAGAAAAGUGAUUUUGAGUCACGAUUUGAAGUCUUUUUGUCUCACUUGCUUUGUAACUUUUAGUCAUUUUCUCCUAUAUUAUCCCCAACAAGAUGGAUCCGCCGGAGAAAAUGCAAAAUGAUAGAAUUGUUCGCUCCCUCCACGCCUUCCACGGUCCAUUUUCAUUCUCUUCCCUGCCGGAGAAGGUGGAUAAAUAAAGGUAGCUUGCUUGUCCUCUGGCGGCUUAUGUCAUCUGCUUGAAGGAUAUUGAGAAAGCUUCCUUACCACAAAUAAGAAAUUGUAUAAGAAUUGAAUUCUAAUGCUAGGUGGACAAGACCAUACAACUAGAAAACGUUGAAAAAUACGAAGUCCUCCAAAAAGUUGGGAUCUCGUGUCUUUGCUUAUCUACCUUCGUUUUCUUCUACCUGUCUCAGUAAUAGAAGUCAUAUUUGAAGUAUUUGAAAUUUGUUCUAACAAUUUGAGUUCAGGAAUAGAUUAUAUUAUGGUAGGAAACUACUUCAUUUUUUAUCUAUUAAAAUAUUAUUUGAUACCACUAUACAAAGGCACUGUAUAUGGCAUUUGAUGCAGGAUUGUUGCAUCUCCAAAGUUCACAAGAAGGUUACAGUUUACACCAAUCAUAUGAACAUGCAUAUAAAUAGAACAUUUAUUACUAUUUUUUCAAGGGCUAAUUACAAUUUACCCCAUGUGGUUUAGUGUUUUAUUGCAUAACCCCUUAUGGUUUCAAAAGCUAUACAUAACCCCUCAUGCUUUAGAUUAAAGUGUCAAAGUGAUGGAACUUACAAUCCAUAACGGAGUCAACUAUAAUAUCAAAAAUACUCCUAUAUAAAGUUAAAAAUUAUUUAUUAACCACAGGGGAUUAUGUAUAUAUAUUAAAAAUCAUAAGAGAGUUAUAUGAUAAAUCACUAAAGCAUGAGGGGGUUAUAUGGUAAAAUAUAAAAUCAUAUAGGGUUAGAAUAUCAUGCAUAUUAUUUAUAUAUAUUUUGGUUAUUUUAGUUUUUAAACAAAGGUAAUUUCGAUAUUUUCAUAGGUUCCAUUACAGGUGAUCAUUUCCAUCACUUUAAUACUUUAAUCCAAAUUAUGAGGGGGUUAUAUAUAACUUUUAAAACUAGUGGGAGGGUUAUGUGUAAAUUAGUUAUACCGCAGAUGGGUAAAGUGUAAUUUGCCCUUUUUUCAAAUAAUGCUAGAUGAUUGCCACCGGAAGGUGUUAAAAACUUGAAAAAAAAAUUGUCGAAAGAAGAAAAACCAAAAAGACUUGACCACCACGCCAAGAUCACGCAUAGGGCUGCAAACGAGUCGAGCCGACUCGAGUUUUAGCCUAAUCGAGUCGAGUCUUGACUUAAUUUUAGUGAACUCGAACUCGAGCUCGAGCUCGACGAGCCGACAAUUUAAAGCUCGAGCUCGAGCUCGAAAAAAAAAAUUUAUUUUAUUUUUUUAAAAAAUAAAUAAUAUAAUUUUUUUUCUUAAUUAAUAAUAAAAGAUUAAGGAUAUAUAUGUAAUUUUACUAUUAAAAUAAAAAAAUAAAAAAAUAUAUAUAUACUUAAAAUUAAAAAAUAUAUAUACUUAAUAUAUAUAUAUAUAUAUAUAUAUAUAUAUAUAUAUAUAUAUAUAUAUAUAUAUAUACUCGAGCUCGUGAGCCGGGCUUAAUAUCUUGACCUCGAGUUCGAGGUCAAAUUUGACUCGAGCCAGCUCGAGCUCGAGUCGAGCUUGACUCGAGCCGCUCGCGAGCCGCAGUUCGUUUGCAGCCCUAAUCAAGGCACUCAUAUUAUCAACAGUAACAGGUUGCUGCCACCAAUCCCUUGUGCAAAAUCACCCCAAAUAUCCAAAGCUACACCCAACAACAAUGAAACACUAUAGCGGCUAAUACUACACUACCAAUGAAAUGUAUACAAAAGCAACUAGUACUACAAUGCCAAUAAAAAAAAUGUAUACAAAAACCACGUCCUUUUUUUUCAGUAUAAAUAGAUGAAUUAUUAGUAUUUGCGUGGCUAAGGAGGCCUUGAUGUAGAAGAUAAAAUUGAGAUUUCAGAAAUUAGAGAUUCUUGGCUCAUUUUCCCUUAUCCCCUCCCUUGCUAGAAGAAUAAAACUAACUUUAAAACUUAGUAUUUGCGUAAAUCACAAAAGCACAGAAAGUUUACAUCAUGGAAGAGGAACAGGGAUCAAAACGGAAUUUUAUUGGGAAGGGACUGAAUGGAUGGAUGGAUAGAUAGAUGUCCGUGAAUCCACAAUAUAGUCUGCUGAAUGAUACAAAACAUACCAAAUAUGAAGACAAGCCAGUCACAAUCAUGUGAAGCCAUUAUUCGACCAUGUUAGACACCGCGAAAUGCUGUCUUGCAAAGAUUCCUACACUACAUAAAGGCACUAAUUUAUCAAGGGCUUCAGCAGCUUCCAAGUCUUGAGUGUUCGUUGCUUUGCCAACUCCUCCUACUGAAAUAUCCUACACAUGAUUCCUACACUACACUGAAAUAUCCUACAUAUGCUGUCUUGCAAAGAUUCCUACACUACAUAAAGGCACUAAUUUAUCAAGGGCUUCAGCAGCUUCCAAGUCUUGAGUGUUCGUUGCUUUGCCAACUCCUCCUACUGAAAUAUCACCUGCUGUAAUUUGAGCUGGUGCAUUCAGUCCCAUUGAUCUGGCUUUAACCAUUAUUCCCCCAAACUGAACCAUGUUUGCAUGGCUAUGUAGACGACUAAACAGAAGUGAUGGCCAAUAUCCAACAACUAUCCCUGGCCCGAUUUCGAGCCACCAAUGCCCAUGCUUAGCAUCCUACAAAAAUGAAACUUGAGUCGUAUAAAGACAGUGUGUUUGGACAGGAAAUUAUUUGAAAUAUUACUUGACUAAUGUAGUACUAUUAUAACGUGACAUACAUAGAUGGAACUAAAAAAUAUAUCUUGAGGGUUUAAGCUUUAAUAUACCUAAACUUAAAUGUAUAACCUAAAAUAUUUUUGAGUUUUUGUAGGGGUGAGAUUUGAAAUUUAGAAUCAUUUACAUAUAACCCCCUGUGGUUUCAUCUGUUACUACAUGAUCCCCCAACGCUUCAAAAUGUCCACUUCACUCCCUAUGGUUUUAUAUGAAGUGGAAGUUUGAUGGAAAAUAGUUAUCUAAUGUCAUUAGUUGAAUUAUCAAUAGUGUCCUUACUUAAAUACUAAAUUAAUCGACGGCUUAACCACCUUAUAUAAAAGUAUAGAGAGAUUACGUAGAUAAAUGCAAAAAUCACAGGAGGUAAAAUGGAUAUUUAUACAAAUCAUAAGGGGGUUACAGGGAUAUUAAAGCACGUUUGGUAUAAAUGUUUAAACUGAUUGUGCAUUCCUUCCAUUUUUCACUUUACAUAAAACUACAAGGGAGUUAUUUGGCUAUUUUAAAGCCUUAGGAGGGUCUAUCAUUUUGUAAAACUACAAGGGAUCAUAAGUAAUUUACCCUUCAAUUUAUAAAGAGUGAUUUUGAAAAAUUUUUAAUCUCAUAAGGGAGGAAACUUAAAUUUUAAUAGACUUGAAGGAGGCUCUUCCCACAUCCCCUAGUUCCAUCUUUGGUGAUAUAUAUGAGAUUUUCCUUUUAAAAAAAUAGUGAUUAAAAAGAUAAAAGGAGAAUAAAAAAAUGUGUUUGUAACACAAGCAAAUAAUAUUUUACAAAACAAUACCAAUCCAAACAUGAUUACUACUCUAUCAAAUAUGCAAAAAAAAAAAAAAAUAGAUAUUUGACAUUUGAAUAAAAUGACUUGUGACAUGAUUAGUUCAAGCUUUGUUGACCUUGGUUGAUCAGUCCUUGGUUUUGAUGAUUAACAAACCAAAAUGUAGAUUUGGACUAAUUUUUUUAUGUGAGAAAUUUGUUAGAACAGGUCAUUGAUCCAAAAGAGAAUCGAAAAGAUUUGAAUCAAAGAGAAGUUAAGAAAUAUGAAGGUUCGGACGUAGAGAAUCGGACGCUCGAUAGAGGAUCGGACGUCCGACAGACGACGAUACUCUUCGGACGCUUGGAUCGGACGCUUGGAUCGGACGCUUAUUCAUUGCUUCGGCCGUCCAACACAAAAAGAAUGAAAGUUGAACAUUCUGACUUCUAUCGGACGCAGGGUUCGGACGCAGAACAAAUGGUUCGGACGUCCGAUAGGUGGUUCGGACGCAUGGUUCGGACGCAGAGCAAAUGGUUCGGACGUUCGACAGGCCAACGGCUAGUUUCGACAGCAUUUAAUAUUUGACCGUUGGAGAGCCUUUUGGAGCCAUUUCUCACCUUCUAUAAAUACCCCAAAACACAAGAAAACACAGACUUUUGCCAACACUAAAUACAAGCUUACAAGUGAGAUCUUUGAGUAGAAAUAUUCUUUGUUGGUUGUAUAAGGGGUUGGGAAAGUUGGGUUGUGAGGUUGCUCAAGUGAAGGUUACUCUCUAGGAGGAGUAAAACCUUGGUGAAGGUGAACCUAUCACUUGGAGUGGUAAAAGUUUGAUAAAGGUUGCCUCACUUGUAUAAAGUAGUUCUUAAUUGAGUGGGUAAACUUUCAAUUGUAGCUAGUUGAGGGUUUACUUGGAGAGUAGUAAAAUUCCUUUGCUCAACCAAAGUAUGUUUGGGGUGAGGAAGGAGUGAGCCUUCACUUGUACAAGUUGGUUAGCACUACCAUCAAUUGAAGAAACUAUUUGGUGGAUUCAACUCCAAGUUUGGAAGAAACUUGGGAGUUUGAUUGGUUUGAAUUUCUUUUACUUUAUUGUUACUCUAUUUUUGUGCUUUAAAAUUGCUUAUAUUUUUUGUCAUCGUAUUUACUUGACUACUUGUCUGGUUGAGUAUUUUGGUUGUAUUUGGUUGCAUCGGGGCUAACAAUUGGCAUCAGAGUUUGGUCUCCUAGAGAUUAAGCUUAACCGCUUAGAGUAAAGAUCAUGGCAACCAUAAAUGUUUCUUUUUUAGAAGGGCAAUCUAUUGAUAGACCACCUAUGUUUAAUGGUUCUCAUUUUAGCAUGUGGAAACAAAGAAUAAUGAUUUUCUUACAAUCCGUUUAUAUUGAAUUAUGGUAUGUGGUAGAAGAUGGUCCUUAUGAAGCUAGAAUAGUUGACUCUACCACUAAUUUGAGUAGAUUAAAGACUAGACAAGAAUUGAAUGAAAAAGACAAGAGAUACCUUUCUUUGAAUGCCAAGACCAUGUAUAUAUUGUGCAAUGCAUUAGAUGUAAAUGAAUCUAGUAGAAUUAAAGGUUGUAAAUCAGCUAAAGAUAUUUGGGAUAAAUUGGGUGAAUUUCAUGAAGGUAACCAAGAUAUUAAAGAACAAAAGAAAUCUUUGCUUGUUUCUCAAUAUGAAUUUUUCAAAAUGCAUCCUCUUGAAAAUGUUGAUAAGAUGUGUAGUAGAUUUUGUGACAUUAUUCAAGAUCUUAAAUUGCUUGGAAAAGAAUAUUUUUUGGGUGAGAAAAAUAGAAAGAUUUUGAAUGUCUUGUCAAAAGAAUGGGAAAACAAAAUAAAUGCUAUAGAAGAGGCAAAUGAUUUAAAUUCUAUGUCCAUUGAAUCUCUUGUGAAUUCCCUAACCUCUUAUGAAUUAAAGCUGAAAUUCAAAGUGCAAGAGGAAGAAAAUGCAAGAAUGUAUAAGAGAGGCAUAGUUUUUAAAGCAUCUCAAGUGGGGGAUAACCCAUCCUUCAUGGGUAAUGAAAACAUGGAAGUGGACAAUGAUAUAACUCCUCACAUCAAAAGUUUCAAGAAGAUCUUCAACAAGAGAAGUUCAAGAGGAGAUUGCAAAAUUACAUGAGAUGAAUGCAAUUCAAAAAGAGAAAAAGAAGAGUUGGCCCAAAUGGCACUAAUGGCCUUUGGAGAAGAUGAGGUAAAUUCUUAUCACUCUUCUAGUGAUGAAGAUAAUGAAGAUGAUGAUGUGCAAAUUCUUAUGAUUAAAAUACAUAAAAGUUUGAGAGAAUCUUAUGCUAAAAAUAAAGAUUUGAAAACAAAAAUAAAUGAUUUGUUGGAAGAAAACUUCAAACUUUUUCAAGAAAACAAAUGUUUGAGAAUGGAAAAUGAUGAUUUAAAAAAUCAAAAAGGUGUUUUUGAUUGUAAAAAUAAUUUGAAAAGGAAGUUGGAAGAGAAAACAAAGUUUUAUGAAAAAAUGUUGGAGGAACAAAAUUUGUUAAAGAAAAGAAUUAAUGAUUUGAACGAGUUUCUCCAAAAUGAAAAACAAAAGUUUUCUCAAACAAAAGAAAGCAAAUCUUUUCAAGGCACAAAUAAGUUUGCUAUGAUAAGAAGUAAGAAAAUUAGUUGCAUUAAAUCCACUUAUGUGCAAAAUACUUCUAUCAUGUGUCACUUUUGUUGCCAAUUUGGACAUAUGCAAAAUGAUUGCUAUGUAAAGAAAAAUAUGAGAAAAUGUAUGAAAUCCAUGUGGAUUGCUAGAUCAUGUUGUACUAACUCCCAAGGACCCUAUAAAGAAAAAAUACCAAAUGAAAUUUCUCAUACUUAGGUACAUCAUGAAGAUUUAAUCCAAAAAGUGCUAAAUGGUUGAAAGUACAUUUGAAAGUUUUGACAUUCAAUAUGGUCUUGAUUUGAAAAAUAAAGGAGGAGUUUGCUUUUUGAUUGAUGCCAAAAGGGGGAGUAGGAUUUAUUGAAAUUUCUUUGUAUGUUGGCAUUUUCUAAGGGGGAGUUUUAUUUGAACUUAUUUGAUCAAAGAAAUCUUCAUUUUGUUUGUCAUCAUCAAAAAUGGGGAGAUUGUUGACCUUGGUUGAUCAAUCCUUGGUUUUGAUGAUUAACAAACCAAAAUGUAGAUUUGGACUAAUGUUUUUAUGUGAGAAAUUUGUUAGAACAGGUCAUUGAUCCAAAAGAGAAUCGAAAAGAUUUGAAUCAAAGAGAAGUUAAGAAAUAUGAAGGUUCGGACGUAGAGGAUCGGACGCUCAAUAGAGGAUCGGACGUCCGACAGACGACGAUACUCUUCGGACGCUUGGAUCAGACGCUCAUUCAUUGCUUCGGCCGUCCAACACAAAAAGAAUGAAAGUUGAACAUUCUGACUUCUAUCGGACGCAGGGUUCGGACGCAGAACAAAUGGUUCGGACGUCCGAUAGGUGGUUCAGACGCAUGGUUCGGACGCAGAGCAAAUGGUUCGGACGUCCGACAGGCCAACGGCUAGUUUCGACAGCAUUUAAUAUUUGACCGUUGGAGAACCUUUUGGAGCCAUUUCUCACCUUCUAUAAAUACCCCAAAACACAAGAAGACACAGACUUUUGCCAACACUAAAUACAAGCUUACAAGUGAGAUCUUUGAAUAGAAAUAUUCUUUGUUGGUUGUAUAAGGGGUUGGGAAAGUUGGGUUGUGAGGUUGCUCAAGUGAAGGUUACUCUCUAGGAGGAGUAAAACCUUGGUGAAGGUGAACCUAUCACUUGGAGUGGUAAAAGCUUGAUAAAGGUUGCCUCACUUGUAUAAAGUAGUUCUUAAUUGAGUGGGUAAGCUUUCAAUUGUAGCUAGUUGAGGGUUUACUUGGAGAGUAGUAAAAUUCCUUUGCUCAACCAAAGUAUGUUUGGGGUGAGGAAGGAGUGAGCCUUCACUUGUACAAGUUGGUUAGCACUACCAUCAAUUGAAGAAACUAUUUGAUGGAUUCAACUCCAAGUUUGGAAGAAGCUUGGGAGUUUGAUUGGUUUGAAUUUCUUUUACUUUAUUGUUACUCUAUUUUCGUGCUUUAAAAUUGCUUAUAUUCUUUGUCAUCGUAUUUACUUGACUACUUGUCUGGUUGAGUAUUUUGGUUGUAUUUGGUUGCAUCGGGGCUAACAAGCUUGUUACAUAUGAGUUUAUUAAUUGGGAACUUCUUUUACAUAAAUUACGGGUACCACCAUGGGUAUCCACCUUUUUUAAGAGAUACAGACGUGUAAAUAUAGACCAUAUCUAUUACUAUAUAAUGUAAUCGUAUUUUGACUAAAAUCACAAAUGUCAAUCAGAAACUAUUCAGAAUAAAAAAAAAGGGCUACAUGGAUAAAUAAAAUUAACUUUGUAAAAACAUUUUUCUAUUAGACACUUUCCAUAUUUUGUAUCACAAAAAUAAAAAGUAGAAAGGAUUUGAACUUCUUCCAAACUAAAAUUUGAAGAAAAUCUCAAAACAUAUAUAGUCAAAAUGUAACUGAAAAAAAAAAAGAUUUCUAAAGAUUCAAAUUAAAAUAUCUAUGAAUUUAGGGUAAAAUACACGGAACUCCCCUAUGGUUUCGCGAAAAGACACAUUAUCCCCCUAUCGUUUAGAAACAUACACAUAAACACCCUAAACUUCAUAACUAAAGUGGAAAUUGACUUCUUAACCGGCUGAGUUACCAGCUGCAGGUCGAAUACCCAAAAUACCCUCAUUUAUAAUAGAGAGGGAGAGAGAAUCAAGAACUGACUCUCUCUCGUUCACUCUCUCUCGUUCAUCCUGUGUAAGAAAAAAAAACCCUAAAACAAGGGAUUUGUAUACUAAAUUGUUGCUGAAAUAUCAUGAAUCUGAGUUGAAAACAGCGUGGCUGCCUUUCGGACAUGAAUUGGUUGAUCCUAAAGGGUUCCUGAGAAGCUGGAACAACAGUGGUAUUGGAGCUUGUUCGGGUGGCUUGGCCGGGAUUAAAUGUGCUCGGCGACUAGUAAUUGUAAUCCAGCUUCCCUGGAAAGGUCUAGGUGGUCGAGUAACUGAAAAAAUUGGGCAGCUUCAAGCUCUCAGAAAGCUUAGCCUCCACAAUAAUGCAAUUGGUGGUGCAAUUCCUUCCUCGUUGGGGCUUUUGCCUAACCUCAGAGGUGUUCAAUUAUUCAAUAAUCGAUUUUCUGGUUCAAUCCCACCUACACUUGGUUUGAGUCCCCUUCUUCAAUCACUAGAUUUCUGUAACAACUCCCUCUCUGGAACUAUUCCGGCUACUCUUGCCAAUUCAACCAGGCUCUUUAGGCUUAAUUUUAGCUACAACUCUUUGUCUGGUUCAAUUCCCACCAGCCUUACUCAAUCGCAAUCGCUGAUUUUUCUUGCUCUAGAGCACAACAAUCUCUCUGGUUCCAUUCCUGACUCUUGGGGUGGAAAUGUGAAGGCCCUCUAUCAACUUCAGUCCCUAACACUUGGUCACAAUUCAUUUUCUGGGACAAUUCCAGCUUCUCUUGGCAACUUAAGUGAGCUCCAAGAGAUUUCACUCAGUCAUAACAACAUGGCUGGAUUGAUACCCAAUGAAAUUGGAAGACUAUCUAGGCUUAGAACACUUGAUUUCUCAUAUAAUGCACUCAAUGGGAGCUUACCUGCCGCUCUUUCCAAUUUAUCAAACCUUGUAGUUUUGAACUUGGAAAGCUACCAUCUUGACCACCAAAUUCCUGCAGCUGUAAACAAACUACAGAAACUAUCUGUUCUCAACUUGAGAAAUAACCAAUUUGCUGGUCCUAUUCCAGCAACAGUUGGGAACAUUUCUUUCCUGACACAAGUUGAUUUAUCUCAAAACAAGUUUAGUGGAGAGAUUCCAGCAUCUAUAGGUGAUUUACCUAAUCUUAGUUCCUUUAAUGUGUCUUACAACAAUCUGUCCGGUCCUGUUCCAACUAAGCUUGCUCAAAAGUUCAAUGCAAGCGCCUUCGUGGGCAAUCUUGAGCUAUGCGGAUACAGUGCAUUAACCCAAUGUCCAAUACCACCCUCUCUGGGCCCAUCAACUCCACCAGAAUCUCCAGCAAAGAAACAUCAUAGACUGAGCACUAAAGACAUUAUUCUCAUCGCAGCUGGGGCUCUCCUCAUCUCCGGAGAAAAAGGCACUCCUCCAACUGCAGGUGAAGUUGAAGCAGCUGGAGAAGCAGGAGGAAAGAUUGUCCACUUUGAUGGACCCAUGGUUUUUACAGCAGACGAUCUGUUGUGUGCCACAGCAGAGAUCAUGGGUAAGAGCACUUAUGGAACAGUAUAUAAGGCAGCAUUGGAGGAUGCAGUGUUGCUGCAGUGAAGAGAUUGAGAGAGAAGAUUACAAAAGGACAAAGGGAAUUUGAAACUGAGGUUAAUAUACUGGGGAAGAUCAGGCAUCCAAACCUUUUAGCGAUGAGGGCUUAUUAUUUAGGUCCGAAAGGUGAAAACUUCUCCGUAGAUCUUCUCCCUUUUUCCUUUCACUCUUUGAUAGCUUGAAAUCUCUUCUCCCCUGAUAUGUCACUUCAAUAUAGCAACUGAAGGGUAACUUGGGAAUGAAACUCAAGAUCUUUUCAAAAGAAUCUCGCAUACCCAUCAUCAGUAGGUCGUUCAGCCGGUUAUAGGUCUAUUUCCACUUUAGUUAUGAAGUUUAGGGUGUUUAUGUGUAUGUUUCUAAACGAUAGGGGGGUAAUGUGUCUUUUCGCGAAACCAUAGGGGGGUUCCGUGUAUUUUACCCAUGAAUUUAAAUAAAUGUGUUUAAUUGUAUAGUUGAUACAAUUUUGGUAAUAUCUUCUAUAAUAAGGUAAAGCCAAUAAUUAUAAAUCUUCAGCAUGUAUAGUAUAUGCCAAACCAAUCAAAUAUGUAUAACGAAUGUGAAUUUCUUUUAUUUAUAACCUCUUUCAUGUAGAAAAAAUAUCUUUAUUAAAUUAGAUUGGUUUUAUGAGUACUAAGUGAUUAAAUUAUAAAAUAUUAGAAUGUCAUUACUAUCUCAGUUAUCAAAUGGCAUUGCCUAAGAUCUACUUUAGUAUCUUAAGAGUGAGGCUUAAACCAAUAGUUAGUUAAUAAAAUAAUUAAAAAAAUGGAAAGUCAUGGUAACUAAAAUAUGAAAAAUUAUGCAUGGAUGAUAGAAAAUGUAAAUUUCCAAAAAAAAAAAUUCCAACAUUUAUUGCCAUAAAGAGAGAAAAAAACUAAAGUAAAUUGUUGAUAAGUAUAAAAAGGAAUGCAAUUGAAAUAAAAAAAAUUAAAGAAUAAAUUAGUGAGAAGGAGAUCACUUCAUGUGUUGCACACUAAAGUAGACAACAAACUAAAGAAUGGAUGAAAAAAGAAAGUCUACAAAGCUUAUACACCAUACAACUCUUCACUAUUUUUACCAAUUUUGCUAUUAGUCAUGUAAGAGUUUGUAGAAUUUUGUUCAAUCUUUUUGCUUAGAAUUUAAAAUUUGAUGGUGUGAUAUAUAUCUUUCAACUUAAUCAAUUGUAUCUCUUUAUAAAGCCAUAGCCAUGGUUUUUCACGUGACAAUGUAUUCCUGUCUUUUUCUUUUUAUUCACUCUAAGAACUAAAACAUAGGACCAAUUCAACUUUAAACAUCAAUAGAUUCUUUGACAUUUGAUUUUUCUUGCCUACAAUGACAUUAAUUUUGAUUAAGUUCAACAUCAUAUACUAAGGGCAAAUUACACUUUUCCACCCUAUAGUUUAGUGUUUCCUUAUAUAAUUCUCCUAUGGUUUCAAAAACUAUAUAUAACCCCCUCAUAGUUUGGAUUAAAGCGUCAAAGUAACGGAAUUUGCAAUCCAUCACGGAGUCAAGUAAAAUGUCAAAAAUAUCCCCAUGUAAAGUAGAAAAUUACUUAUUAACCACAAGGGGGUUAUGUUUAUAUAUAUUAAAAACCAUAAGGGGGUUAUAUGAUAAAGCAUUAAACCAUAAGGGAGUUAUAUGAUAAAAUAUAAAAUCAUAUGGGGUUAGAGUGUGAUGCAUAUUAUGUUUAUAUAUUUUGGUCACUUCAGUCAUUUUAGUUUUUAAACAAUGGUAAUUUCGAUAUUGUCCUAGGUUUCGUUACAGAUGAUCAUUUCUAUCACUUUAAUACCUUAAUCCAAACUAUGAGGGGAUAUAACAGAUUUUAUCAGAUUGAGUUUGAUAUCAAAAUAAUUUAGUUAUUAGAAAAAUAAGGAUAUUUGUUAACCAAAGAUCAUGUUGGUUUGUUAACAAAUAUUUUACCUAAGAUUUGCUAGUAGAGGAAGAUUACAUUUUGUUGAGAUUUUUAGGAUAAUUGUUAGUUGAUAUUUUGCUAGUUUAUUUCAUGUAAUCACUAUAAAUAGUAAGUUGAUGAAUGAAUAAUACAAACUCAUUUUCUACUUUCAAUACAAGUCUCUUAUAAGUUUUUUUUUUGCAACACUAAGGUAUUGUUUUUUAGUGUAUGCCCCAAAAAACCAACAGAAGCACGUGCAUUUUACUAGUAACCCAAUAUAUUCUUUUUUUGUGGAGAUAUUAAAGGUGGCAUGCACUUGCUAACUGCCCUUACCACUUGCUAACUGCCCUUGCCACUUGCCUUUAAUUAUUUGUGAUCCAUUACUUUGAUGGAAGUUGUGUGGUUUAGUGGAGUUCAAGAAAUGGGACAAGAGCUACUUGUAUAAGCUUCAUUUAAAACCAGUUGUUAUGAACUAGUAACAGAAGUUUCGUUGUUGUCAACCAAAAAAAAAAAAAAAUGUUUAGUUGUUGUCAACAAAGGAAAAAUAAAUAAAUUAAUAAAAAUCCUGAUGCCCUGACAGAGAGGAGAAUCUGACAAUCAAUUAACUAUAUCAAGAAUAGUUGGAAAGCCAGAAAGAUAUUAUAAUGAGGAUGAUAUAAAACCAUUUGUAUGUUAUGACAUACUCUUACCUAAUUUGAGCAGGCAAAUAAUAACAGGGUUGUACUUUUCUUAGUUUCACGUGUCGAAUGUAAAUAUGUGAAUUUAGUUUGAUUUUGCAAGACAAAAACUCAGGAUGUUUCAAUUAAAGUCUAAGAAUCUGAACUUGAAGGUUACAUAAGAUAGCAUUGAGCUUACCUUUGCGAUGAUCAUCGGUAUGCCGAUAUCAAGUUCUCUGCCAUUCUGGGAAAAUCUUGGAGAGAUUGCUGCCCCUAAAGAAAUUCUAUUAUUAGUUUGUACAAAGCCUGAACACAGGAGGUUAUAGCAUCCUGUGGUUCCAUAUGAAUCAGCCUGUAGAUUGAAAGUGAUCCGCAAUCAAGAACUUUUAUGUCUGGCACAUACAGACGUAACUUAAGGAUGCAUAUUUGAUGGUUUACCGUCCAAUACGUGAAGAAUCUGGGGGAGUUGUCUCCAAAUAAUUUCGGAUUAACCUGGAGAAUUUAAAAAUGGCUGAUCCUUAGAUGUCUUCUUCUUCUUCCACCCUAGAAGACUUAGAAAAAGUGACUCUUGUGUCUAGUUUACGUACCUGCCAGCCGGCUUCAACGGUAUUAAGAUCAUUACUAGUACUAUUACCAGAGGCCAUCCAGACUUGUGACAGUCUGAAGUCAUAUUGGUCCGUCUCAUUAGCUUUCCAGACAUGUAUGUAGAGCCGUGCUCCAGAGUAACAAUCUCCAGUAACAUCGCCAACAGGUCUCUACAUUGCAAAUAAAGAAAAGAUCAGGUGUAUAAAAUCCGAAUCUAUGAACUUUUGAUGCUACGAUUGGAAACUUAAAAGCUUAGACAGAGCCAAAAUAUGUUAACAGCAAUUUGAUUUGCAACUUGAUUUAUUCAUAUUGUCCAAUGAGGUUCUUAAAUAUCACUUUUUCCUUUGGUAAGAAUUUCACUUUUAUUCUCUUCUCAAACUUCUCAUUUGUUUGGCAUUGUUCCAGAAAUGUAAUUAUUUUGAGGAGAGAAUAAGAAAAUGACAUGAUCUAUUUUUCGGAGAGAGAGAGAGAGACAUUUGGAUGUAAUUAUAGGAAGAAGAUAAGAUAAGUUUCCCCAAACUUCGAGUCGCUUAUGCAUUGAUUUAGAAAUCAUUGCCUUGAUAAAUCUGAGAAACUGACCUAACUAGUUUCUUAAAAACUAACUGAACCAAGCUUUUUUGAGUGCCAUUUUACUUCAUUUCAUAGACUUACCAGUUGAUCAUUACUGCUUAUCUUAGUAUUCUGUUUACUGAAAGAUUUUCGGCCGAAUUUGUGCAGUGAACCAGCUCUCAGGACAUCUUUCAUUGUAGUUCUUCUGAUAGGUACAGUACCAUCCGGGCACGAUUCACCAGAAUCAGUCCACAGUUGAAUGCUCUUCCUCCAGCCAUGGUUGGUUGGUCUCUGUCCAAAUAUCGGCGGAGUUACAGUUGAAAGCUCUGUCGAUACCAGAAUCAGUCCAAACAAAACUUUUUCAAGACAUCAAAUUUCUUUCAUCAUAGUGCCAGGUUAAAUCUGGAUAUGCUUUAAUUUUAUCAGCCCAUUACUAGGUAUGUGUAAAUGUACUUUUAACAAAAUAGUUUCCUUAGACUCUAGUUUCUGCAGAAACAUAGAGCAAAUGAUCUGAUUCUGAACACAAUUACCAGUGGCUUCAGUCCUUUGAGCAGAGGAUGAUCAAAAGCCGGUUGGAGAUGAGAUGGGACACAAUCUAUUAGAUCACCAUCUGGACUCUGUGUCAAAGAAGUUAGGCAAAUUGAAAUUAGUAAACCUGAAAACCACUAAAAAGAUGCCAAAUUUAGCUAGCCACAGUACUGGAAAGGUAUGAAAAAGAAUUGCCUCAAUUGUCUUGAUUGCGAGUUUGUUAAUCCUCCUCAGAUACCUUCUAAUUCUCUUUGACUUCUGCACCCUUUGACUCAGAUGGAUAGUUUGAUUGCGUAACAGGUGGUUGUCACUGGAAUCCAAUAUAUCAUUUGGCAUAGAAAAGGCAGAUGAAAUAGAAGAAGCAAUAAGUACAACCAAAGUGAAGAUAAUUCGGACUGUUUUGUAACAUCUGGCAGAGGCCAUGCUUGUUCUGUAUAUAUCUAUUUCUGCUUCUCUUAACUUAGUGUUUCUCCUAAAUACAAAUAUCACGCAUUUGUAUUGGCCACCAUGACAUUCUGAACGACAGAAUCAUGGUUUACUAAAAAAUGAUUGUCCACCAAGAUAGCUGUAGUGCUCAAGAAGCCAUCCAAAUGCAAGAAGUCAACCCUGGAUUGUUAGAAAGUUUAUCAAAUCAUUUAUAUUACCCAACAAACCAAUCAAAGAAAAAGUCAAAUCAACUCUCCCUCAACAUUUUGAACUUUCUUCCCUCCUAUCUCUGGCUUUUCAAAGAUUCUAUAAUGUUAUAGUAGUCUCCCAAUAAGCAUUAAUGAGUAUAGGAGGUUUCACCAGUAAUAUAUUGAUAGUCUACGAAACUCAACUGGUUAUCAUAAAGAAUGUGCACAGACAAAAGGACUUGCAAAUUAAUGCAUAAGUUAAAGAUUCAAAACUUAUUUGCUUGCUCAGUGCAGCUAGCUUAGGGAUGACAGCAGAUGCAGAUGGAAUCUAAGUUAUAAUUUGCUGCUUGGUUUUCACUUUUGUGUAGGUCAAAUUCAUGUGGCUUGCUUAAUCUCCACAGCUAGCUGGUUGGUGGGCGCAUAUCAGCCUCCUCAUCGAUAUUAAUCUAUUAAUCGACUCUCAAUUUGUCUUGCUAAUUUGUCUUCCUGUUUUUCAGAUUUUGUUUCCUUCUUUUCUAACCUAAGAAGUCAGGGUGGGUGUACACAAAUUUAGUUGACUUCAGAUUCCAAUGUAUUUGACAUUUAGUUCAGGUAAAAGCAUCUCACUCUACAUAUGCUGACUUGAAAAUCACUGUUAUGUCUAAAAUUGUUUUAUACCCUCUUAUUAUUUUAUUUUAGAGAUUAUCAAUUCCAUGAUUCCAUCUGAGAAAAAUAUAGCCAAUUCAUAUAGGUAAAAUGUAUCUAUAUCAGUACUUGCUGUUAGUUGCAUGUGCCUAAGCAGAAUCUGUCUUUGGCAAACAAACAAUCUGUCUUGAUGGCCUAACUCAGAUUUAGUUUGUCAUUUUCACUGUUUUUCUUUGCUUGAGAGCUGUUAUCAAGUCUUGUUUAAGUGAUUUUGUCUUACAAGGAAGGUUCAUGUUAUAUUAUAAACUGAGGUUGGUGACAGAAAUGUUACAUUUUUUUUUGUUUUCCCCAUGCUUGGCACAUGCAAGUCUGCUCAUAGAACGUUAACCACUCAUUUUCAUGUCUUAAUCAAAUUGCUUAAUCUAAUACACAAAGGAAGACUAAUACUGCAGUGCCAUUGGCUAGGUUCUUGUUUCAGCUUUCAAGAUGGACAAUCAAUGGCAUAUUGGUCAUUUUGCCUGAACAUCAACUUUGAGAAGGAUAAAGAAUUGCAUUAAUACCAUACAUAGCUUUCUUCUCUGUGCAUGCACGUAACUUUCCAUAUCCACAAGGUACAAAAGUAGAAAGUAAAUUACACACAAUACUCCUAUUUAUCUUCUUGCUACAAAGUAAUGGGUAAAAACUUUUUGUUGGGGGGGUGAAAUGGAAUGCUUUUCAAAAGAAUUUUGAAAUGGUCUAUGUCUAUUUAAAGGAAAGGGGAAAUUGGGGACCAAUGGAAAGUUUUAGGCCAAUAAUAUGUGACCACCCUACACUUUUAUGCCCUUUUAAGGACACCUUGAGUUCCUUCCAGGGCCACCAUAGUAGAAGUAAUUUCCCCAGACAUUGUUUCUUCCUGCUUUUAUAUCAUAACAAGUAGGAUGAUCAGCCAAGAGAUGAAGAUUAGAUAGAGGAAUUAAGCUGUUAUCCCAAUCAACAACUUGCAAAUUUCUGAAGUAAGAUGCUUUGCCAAAUCCUUCAUCUGCAAAAUGGCCACUUCCCAUCUGUGUUGAUGUGUGAUAUCCUGUUGAUCUGGUGUUUACUAUUUCUCCACCAAACUGAACCAUGCUGGCAUGGCUUCGUAGAUGACUGAACAGAAAUGAUGGCCAGUAUCCCACAAGCAAUCCUGAACCGAAUUCGAGCCACCAAUGUCCAUGCUUAGGAUCCUACAAAAUCAAAAUUUAUGAGUUCCCAAUUUCAUGAAUGCAAUUUUAAAUUACUGCUUCCUCUUUUAACAUUUUUUGUAAGUCAAUGGGAAGGAAAUGUAAUUUGAAAAAAUGCCAUAAGUAGGGGCAUUCACCAGCUGCAUUCACGCGUUUGCUCUACUUAUUUCUGGCCUAUCAGGCAAUAAUUCAACUCAAUAUGUAGGAUAGUCUGAGUAUUCUACUAUUACCUUCAAAAGCCAGUUGUUGUCUACUAGCAAGAAAUAUACUUAAUAAUUCAGAAGGAAGGGAAAGAGAAUUUUUUUUACUCAGAGAUGCCCCUAACAGAGAGGAGAAUCUGACAUUUAAAUGUCAAGAACAGUUGGACAACUUCAAAUACAAAAUAAUGUAAUCGAGGAUGUUUCGCGCAUAUCGUAGACUUGCUAAAACAUUGGUCAACCUGUUGUCUUCUAACAGAAAAAUCAUAAUCAAUGCUAACCAUUAAGUAAUUGAACAGGAAGUGCUUAGUUGGCUCAUUCUUUUCCUAGUUUCAUGUGUUCAGAUGGAAAUGACAUUGUACGGCUUAAAGAAAUCACUCGUGUUGCUGAAGUAGCCAAAAAAUGUUAGAUAUCUUUAGGUUGAAAAGAAAAGAAAAGAGACCUGGAGAAAAGUAUUAGGGAGUCUGUCAUUUACCUUCCAUAUCAUAACACCAAUAUCAAAUUGUCUGCUACUGUAAGAUGACCUUGGAGAGAUUGCUGCCCCUAUAGAAAUUCUAUUAUUUGUCUGUACAAAUCCUGAACACAGUAAAUUGUAGCAUCCUGUGGCUUGGUAUGCAUCAGUCUGUAAAUUAGGUCAUUAACGGUAAGCUUUCAAUGUCUUAAAACAUGAAUAUAAGUGCAUAUGAAGAAUUCAACUUUUGAUAGUUACCGUCCAAUAGGUGAAGAACCUCGGAUUGCCAUCUCCAUAUAACUCUGGACUAACCUGGAAAAGUGUGAAUUGGCAAAUUCUUAAAUGUCUUGCUCAAUCUACAUUGACUCAAACAUAAAAUGCAGUAUACAAUCAUAAAAACCUAUCUGCUGGGAAACUUUUCUAAUAAAAUCUAGAUGACUAUCAUUUUUGCGGAACAAAAUUAAGUUUUGACCAUGCUUCUAAGAAGGUGUUUAGUUUCACAAGAAACAUCUUUCCUGUUAAUACUGGAAAAAUUGAACAAAAGAAACAUGUUUCCCCCUUAGAACAAAAGACACAGAAGAUAAACUUUUCCACUUGUACAUACCUGCCAACCGGCUUCAAUGGUAUUAAGAUCAUUUCCAAAAGUGCCAGAAAUGAUCCAGACUUGGGACAAACUGAACUCAUAUGGGUCUGUGACGCGAGGUGUCCAUACAUUUAUGCUGACCUUAGCUCCAUAAAACUGAUCUCCAUUUACAAAAGCAACUGCAUGCUACAUUGCAAAGAAACAAGUAUCAUCACAAUGACCAAAUUCAUGCUAGAUAACCAUGAAUUUGUGCACUGUUAUUCGACCCCUUUAUGUUGAUCUUUUGAUGCUACAGUUAGACUAAAGCUGAGAGCAAAAGAUGUAUUAGGGGCUUUGGAAUUCAGACUACAGACUGAAGCAACCAUGGUAUAUUCACUUUUUCAAAAUGAAAUUUCCGCAAAUAUAACUAAGGUCUUAUACCAUGCCACUCCAAUUAGUAAUUUUAUUUGAAAGAGCACUAGCCCUUUGGUUGUAACUAUACACAAAAGAGAAGAGGGCGGAAUAGGACAGUUUACCUCAUGUCUAACCAUCUUUUCUCUUAUGGAUAGAACAGUCACAUCUUCAGCUACAUCUAUCUGAAUAAAUGACAUGUUUUAUAAAAGCAACUAACUAAGGCUUUUUAGUCCCCCCACUUCCCUAUCCUUAGUAAAUAGAAUCUAAUUCACUUAGGAAAUAAAGGUUUCUUCUCUGUGUAUUUUCCUCUGAAUUAUGCUACAAACUUCACAUACUAACCUCAUGAUCACUGCUCAUGGUGUCAUGGCGUACAUUUCUGAUUUUUCUUCCAAAUCUUCUCAGCUUGCUAGCUCUCAGGACAUCUUUCUCGGUAGUUCUUCUAAUUGGUAUGGUCCCUUCUGGACAGGCUUCACCAGAAUCAGUCCAUAGUUGAAAGCUCUCUGUCAAUGCAUCAAUGGAGUCAUGGCCUUUAGGCCUCUCUGGCGGUUCCUGCAUUUACUUGAUCAAUAUUUUUCAGGGAAUCACAAAUGACAGAGAUUUUAUACAAACACAAAAUUGAAGAGUUCUGCUUUGAUCUGAACUUAUAAGAGUACCAGUGGCUUCUGUCCUUUGAGCUGAGGGUGAUCAAAAGCUGGUUGAAGAUGAGAUAGAACACAAUCUAUUACAUCACCAUCUGGGCUCUGCAGGAAUUAUAGAAUAACAUUAAAUCAGUAGACUCAAACCUAACGAGACAUCAAAACUUUUCAAAUUUGGUAAGAAACAGAACUACAAAAGUCAGAGAAGAAUGCCUUAAUUGUCUUGACUGCUGGCUUGUUGAUCUUCUUCAGAUAACUUCUAAUCCUCCUCAACCUAUGCAAUUCUGAUCGCGGCCGGAAAGUUUGGUUGGAUAAGAGAACGUUAUGACUGGAAUCUGAUGCAUGGAUAGUAGGCUUGGACGAGACAGGAGCAGUAUUAAAGGAAACAAGAACUGACAAAACAACAAAUGUGAAAAUGAUUGGAAGUUUUCUGUAAGAUGUUGUAGUGGAAGAAGAAGCCAUACUGCAGCUUCUUGUUGAAUGUCCUUGUGUGGUUGUUUCUUCUGUUAAUUUGGUUUGAGUUUGUAUGCAUUUGUGUGUCCUCUCUAUAGUCUAUGAUCUAAUUUACAAAACAGAAACAUGGUUUAUUCCAAAAGUUUGUCGAAUGGCCACCAGCAUUACAUACCCAUCAACAAACAAUUCAAAUGUGUACAAACUAAAACAUCCAACAGAAAAGUUAAACCGGUUCACUCCUCAACAUUUUCUAUACUUCUUUUUCCUCUCUCUCUUCCUCAGGGAUUGUGUUUCUAGUGUGUCUUGGUCUUGUGUUUCUGACACACACAACCUUCAGCCUGGGCUUGUUAAAAUAGGCCCCUACCAGAGGAGGUUAUUGACACAAGGGAUUCUGGUCAAAAGGGCCUUAUUUUAAUAGAGUAACAGGCAUUAGGGGUUGUUUACCUGAUGAUAGAACUAGAAUUCAAGGCAUUAUUUGUUUUCCUUUUUCUCCAUCUUUUCAACUUUUUGCAGGGUUCAGAUUAUGGUUCUUUGCAUGUUUAUUUCCACUUUUUGCAUGCUCGUCAAUCCUGUAUAAUAUACUAGUAUAAUUCAUUAGUUAAAAAACAAAAACUCCACAUUUCAAACUUUCAGAUUCUUGUUUCUUAUAUUUUGUCCUGCAAGUUUUGGCGUAUUAGUAAGACAAGUGGAGAAUGUUUACCACUGUAGAUUGGAACUCAUUGACUGUUGAUUCUUGAGUCUAAAAUGAAGUGGAGUUUAAUUGGACAACUACUUGAUAUAAUGAUGAAUCUGUAUGAAUGGUCGCUACAUAAUGAUUGCAGUACCAAUACAGGUAGAGUAAAUGAAGGAUUGUACAAAGCGGACAUUUUUUGGUGGACCAUAUAUAAGACACAUGAUUUGCACAAACAUGAAGAUAAUGAUUACCAUCAGAAAAAUGUAAAAUAUACACUAGAAUAGAGACACAUCAUGAUGAUGCAAAAAAUAAAGUAUAUCAUUUUUGACUUGCUAUUUUUGAGAAUCAUCAUAACCUAAAUCAUAAUCAAGAUUAUCAUGAUUUAUGAAUUUUGACCUUGAAUAACUAAAAGUAAAAGAUUCUCAGCAGCACUUCUACCAAUGAACUUUUGUUUAGUGUGAGGGGAGAAAGGUUUUAAAUUCGAAAUCUCUUAUUUACAGCUCUCAUGUAUACUUAUUUGGUUCCUCGUAUUAUUUAACACAUCCAUCCCUCUCUUCUGCCAAUGAACUUGUGCACUAGCAGUCUUGUAGCAUUAUUUGUUUGUAAUAUGGAGUAAGUACCAGAUUGCCCUCUAUAAUUAGAAAACCUACAAAUUAUUCCCUGCAAAUAAAUAACCAAACACUUGGGUUAUAUUUUAGGUAUGAAAAGACAAUGAUGCCUUCGGAUAUGCAAUGCUUUGAUAGUUUCAUCCUAAGGAAAUGAUAUUAUUAUUAUUUUUAAUUAAAAAAGUGUUUUAUCUAGGAAAAUGACAAUACAAUUGUAGAAAUAAAUAAUUAUAGACUUCCAUGAAUUAUUUAUAGUAAAUAUAUAUUCUAGUUACUUAUGAUAAUUUAUUCGAUUUAAAUAUUUUUCAUUAGAAAAUGAUGACAUGCAUUUAAACAUCAAAAGAAAUUAUUAAUAAGAACAAAGAAAGAAAAUUGAAAGUGAAAUACUUUUGAUGAAUAUUUACUUUUCAUUUUUGAUAGAAUGCUUUUUUAUAGGAAAACUGAAAAAUACAUUUCACGAUUGAAUAAUAUCAAGGUUGUGCAUAUAUGUAUUUCAAUGUCAUUUUUCUUUCUUUGAAAGUGAAAUAUACAUAUGUACAUACAUACAUACAUACAUAAAUGUACAUAUAUAUAUAUAUGUAAAUAAGCAUUGAAUAUUACAUAUAUAUAUAUUUAAAGAUAUAUUAUUAUUCUAUUACCAUUUUCUAGACACAAAAUGUUUUUUACUACAAAAAAAAUAUAGUAACAUCCGUUCCGAAGAAUAAAAUGAAGAAAUCAUUAUGUAAUCAAGGGUAUGACUAUCUUUUCACACCUAAAAUUUAAUCCAGAUGCUUGACCAAGUGUUUGUAGAAAGGCAAUUCAUGUAUUUUCUAAUUACAAAGGAGCAACUUGCAAUUAAGCAUAUCUUGAAUUAACUUUCAUUAGAAAUCCAAUUGCAUUACAUAAAUCAGAAUGGGAAGGGAUUCUGUGAAAUUGUGAAAACAAUUGCACCAUCUAAUUGAUGGCCUAGGUGGGUGAAUUUAAAAUAAAAUAGUGGGUUUGAUUAUGAUAUAUAAUUUUCAACAAAUAAAAAACUUAUCUAUUUUUUUACACAUUAUUAUCUUAGUGUCUAUAUUUAUUACAUUACUAUGUAUAUAUGCCGUCAUAGUAGUACAUAUAUUCCAUCAUGCAGUUAACAUUAGUGAUUGCAUGGUAAUUGCGGAGCCCCGGAUAGAAUAUGCAUCUUAGGCCAUGUUUGGAUUACUAUUUUCUAGAAAAAAAUAUUUGCGUUUUCUGUUGACACAUUUCCUUAGCAUUUUGCACCAUUGCCAGCUGAAAAACAGUUUCACCUAAGAAGCUUUGGAUCACUUUGCAGUGGAAAAGUCGAAUAAGAUCCAACAUCUAGAAAGAAAAUAAUGUUGCUCCUCUUUAUAUUAACAGAAUGGCCCUUUUGUGGUCCUCAUAAAUUUGAAAAUGAUUAAUGAAUUAUUUUAUGGAUUAAUUUUUUCUACAGUGAGAGUGUAUAUACUAUCAGCAUUAGAUGAAUAACAAUUAUGCAAAAUUUGAAUUUGAAAUUUAACUUUUACACAUAUGUCAUAGAUCCAACGGUGAUAAUGUAUACACUGCCAGUAUAUAUAAGAUUUACUCUUAUUUUAUUUGUAACUUAACCUCUUAAUUGAUGAAAUAAAUUACUCAUGUGGUAGUUAAUUAACCAGAGAUUUGAUUGAAAAGGUUCUUGGACAUUGUCUCCUUCCUCAAAUAAUUGGAUUCGAACAACUGCAAUCUUUUUCCUCAAUGCUACUUUUCCCACAUUAAUUUUUUUCACACCAUUUAAAGAAUAAAAUAAUCUAGAGAUACCAUAUAGCAUCUUGUUCACUACAAAUUUUUUUUUUUCUAAAUAAAAGAGAAAGAUAUUUUGCCUUAUAUUUUCACCACUUUAGAGGUGGCCAAUUUCAUGUAGGCGUCUUUCUCCAGUUUGAAGAAGUAUAUGGUAACCACCUGCAUGUUAGAAUAUGUAGUGAAUUAGAAAAUGAGGUGAAAAUAUGAAAAAAAAAUUUAGGGAAUUUAUUUUCAGAAAAACCCUUUUUGCAUUCAUUUAAUAUAGUAGUGUCCUUUUCCAAUUGAAGUCAGGAAUGCAUCAACCACUAGAAGAAAUGUAGACAUUCAACUACUUGGGGAAUCCUCAAGAGUUAGCAUUGUGGUAUGCCACUUAAUUUGGGUAAGCACAAAAAGUUUGGGCCCUAUCAAAGGCUCUCUUUUAUAGGGUUCUGGUGCCCUCCACUAUAAGACUGCCCUUAGUACUAGUAGUAUUACUUUAAUUGUCUCUUCUUUUCACAAAAACCCACUCACAUUUCCCAUCCACUUCUGCUGCAAAGAUAAGGAUGUAUUCUUUCUUGAUAUUGGCCCAUGAUAAAGUGUCACUCUCCUUGUAAACAAUAGCAAAGAGUAUUCAUGUUAUCUCAGUGGAAACAUGCCCUUUUUGUAAAGUUGGCAUGAAAGAAUAGAUUCCCACCCACAACCUAAAAAAAAGUAUAAUUUAUAGUUAUAUGAGUUUUUACUUAAUAAAUUGCAACCAUAUAUCUUCUUAAAACUCGUGUUAGUGACAUGUAUAAUGUUUGCUUGCUUGUAAUAUUCUGAUUAUGUAUAUUAAAAAAAGAACAUUACAUCAUGUAUUGCUUAGAUAUGAAGGAGAUUAAUUAGACGGAAUUGCUUUGAAAGUUUUAUAUGUCACCUUUUUUUUGAUAAAGUGCACAAAAGGCUGCCAGCCUGUUGAAUUUGACAUAGAAAUAAUAAAAGUAUACCCUUUAAAAUUAAUUGUAAAGCAUUAUUCUUGAACAGCUUUAUCAUUUUUUUUUUUUGCACAUUCUCUCUUGAUUUCAACAGCACCAAUUAUAUAAAUGCAUAUUUUGACAGAGACAUUGAAUUCUUCAAGCCUAUACUCUACUCUACUCUACUAGAGAAUAUAUAGCAUACAGGCCUCAUUCCCUGUGCAGAAGAUAUUCAUCUGGUUUCAGGCUUUCAGGCUUCAGCCAUUAGGAAUCAAAAGGUUCUGCCUGCCUUAUAUGCCUGAAGGAACUAUCCAAUUAUUUUGCUCGAGCUGUUGUUCUUUGUUUAUUUUCAAAUUUUUUUCCUAGUAAAGAAAGGAUGAAAUUUAAGAAAGAAUUAGAGCUCAAAAUCUUCACGUUUUCAUACCUCAACCUUAGCCAAAAUUAAUUAUUAGAAUCAUUUGAUGCUUGGUUUUGAGCAAUAAGUUGCCCUUCUUGAGCCCCCCUCAAGAAAGAAGAUAAUGAAUUUGGAUUUUGAGUGAAAAUGGCAGCUUGAAUUUAGACCAAAUAUCACUUGACUAUGGAAUUAGCGAGGGUUUUAAUACUUUGAUUACCACAUUACAAAGGUAAACAACUUUAAAAUAUCGGUUUCUAACUUGAAAAAUGUGCAAAAUGGACCCCAAAAAAAAGAACUAGUCUCUCUAACUUUAUUUUUUUUUGGUCAAUCAAUUCGAUAAAUCAGCCAACUCAUGGACAAAGAGGGAUAAUUGAAAAAUGUGCCAUCUAAGCAUGGGAAUAUUGUAGGGAAUCCCCUCAAUUUUCCAUCACAACACCACCUAUCAGAACUGUUAGCUUGUCCUAUAAACAGUGCCUGUGCCAGGUUAGAAAUCACUAAUCAAAACAUCCCACUAUGUUCUAUUACAAGAUGACGAUGGCUCACUGAAAAGAUGAACAAACUGGAAAGCAUGUGAUGCAAUCUUUAUUGUACGAAAAAGCUUUGUAGUUUUUCUACCAUCUUUCUGGAAGAAAGCACAAAUGCGCUGUUUUCUUUAUAGACAUAUCAGACUAUGAAAGCCCCAAAUGUAUAACAAGAUGUUUUGGUUUUAUAUGAAAAUAGACAAGCUAGGAAACAAAGGAAAAGCAAGGUUUGCCGUGCUCAAAUUGAACUUCAGAAAGCAAGUUUGCUUUCAAAUCCCACCAUAUUUAGUUCUCAAAAAGAGAAUUAAGAGAGACAAACAUCAAUUAACAUAGGUUUUAUUACAUGGUUUUUCCAUACUGCAAAAUAUCAGAACUAAUCAACUUAAAGGUUCUGACAAGAAUUGUGCAAACAUGUAUAAGAUUGACUACAAGAGGAAACACUACAAAAGAUCAGAACUGAUCAACUUAAAGGUUCUGACAUGAAUUGUGCAAAUAUUAUAAGAUUGGCUACUAGAGGAAACAUGGGCUACCUUUAGUCACAAAAAAUAGAAAUUUGGACCAAGUACAAAACUGGAUCAUGAAACAUUUUAGAAGAAUGUGUGACUCUGAUCCUGAAAUAUUUUAAUUAAUCAGGAAAACUAAAAAUCUUUUUCUCAUUCUGCAUAAUGUUCAAAGACUAUACCUCUUUCCACUUUCAAGCUUCCCCGUACCGUUCAGUUAUUCAUUUAUUUUAUCAACAUAUCACAUUAUUGAUAAAAGUAAAGUAUACUGUGUGAAAAUCUGUAGAUUCUGCUAUAGCCUGAAGUCUCUUUGGCUGAAUAAGCAAAACUUUUAGAAUUCAUACUUCAUUUUCUUUUUUUGCAGCAUGAUCUAAUGAAAUUUCUUAAACCAUUAUCAUAUCAACCAAGAUGCGCUACACUAACAUUUCUUUGAAACGAUUUAUAGUAUUAGAUAAGAUGGACCAUAGAGGAAUUUGUUGGUGUCUCUCUAAGUUGCAGUGGUUCGUCUGUGGUAUUAACCAAUUAUGAAAAUAUCCCCUUAAGAUAGGGAAAAAAAUUCUUUAUCUUACACACAUUGUUCGGAUUCUAGAGCAUUUAUGCGCUCCAUGGAAAUGUAGAUUCUGAUGCCGGAGGAACCUUUUACGGGAUGAGACUUUAUCUUUUUUUCUUUUUGAAUUUUUGGAGGAGAUGAUACACCAAUACUAAAGUCUUUGAGCAAUGGUAACUUUCAAUCUUCAAUCUCCAAUUUUCCCCGUCAAAGUUACUAAUGGCAUUGACAAGAAUUGUUAAUACAUGAAUUCUUGAGAACUGUUAUACAUAUAUAUUACUCCAGCAAGUGAUGAUUAAUAUGCAAUAACGAUAGGGAGUAACAAUGGAGGUUCCACGAUUAUGUACAAAAAAUUUCGUGUCAUUCUUAAGAUAAUAAGAUUACGAGAAACCUACAAAAGUUGGUGUAAUACUGCGAGGAAUACUAACAUAGAAUUGGAGGUAAUUCUUUUGUUUAUUUUUAUUAAGAUUAGUCAAACAGUACAUGCUUUGCAUGUUAGUUCGUUACCUCUAUUCUAGCUAGUGAAACGAUAAUCAUCUCAAAACUAAUAAAAAGAAGGGUAAAAUAUGCUAUUCCACGUAACUUUCCUGUAGUUUCAAAAGUUAAAUAUCAUCCCCUUAUAAUUUGAACUCAAGUAUCAAAGUGACAGAAUUUGCAUUCCAUUGCAUGACGGAAUCAACUAAAAUAUCAAAAAUACCCCUAUAUAAAAUUAGAAAUUAUUUAUUAACCAUAGAGAAGUUAUCUAUAUAUUUUGGAAACCAUACAAGGGUUACAUGAUAAAGUACUAAACAAAAAGUGGGUUAUGUGGUAAAAUACAAAAACAACAAGAGGUUAAAGUAUCAUGCAUAUUUUGUUUAUAUAUUUUGGUCACUUCGGUCAUUUUAACUUGAGCAAAUUAUCCCAGUGGCCACUAAACUUUUACCAUCGUCGAGUUUUGGUCACUCAACUAUUAAAAGGCUGGUUUUGACCAUCAAACUGUAUAAAAGGUAGAUUCGAGCCCAUUCUGUUAGAUUUAGUCGUUAACUUCGCAGAGGUGUCUGUCCGCGCGAUUUUCAAUACAAAAGGUAGGGUCAAUUUAGGAAGUCGAAAAUAUCACUUGCACCUCUUCUUCCUCUCCCAUGCAUCUGUUCUUUUUCUUCCUUGCCUAAACCCAAACAUCAAACAAUUGACAAUUAAAGAAAAACGCAACAACGAAGAAAUUUGGGGGAUUGAGCGACAGCAGAACGGGUUGACAAACAAGAUCUUCAUUUCGUGGAACGAUGGAGUGGCCCAAGUGGGUGAUUAGACCAAGGGGCCAGCAUUUUGAUCCAUCUGAUGCAUACGGUAAAGUUUUAAAAUCCCUAAGUUUAUUUAGUUAUCCACAUCCCAGAAUAGAUUGUGUGUUUCAUGUAUGUAUGGGCUACAUUUUAUCGUUGUUUUGGCUUUUUGCAAUAAAGCAUAGAGAUUUCAUAGUACACUGAUUAAAGUAUUCUUAAUGCUGGAAAAAGGGGUUAAUAAAUAAUUCAUUCAUUGAAUUUGGGUUUACUAGUUUUGACUAAAAUUUUAAUUUUUUUAACUAAUCGCAUGUCAUGCAGUGCCAGGUUCUUCUCUGUUCACCAUACGAAUGUAUCAUGGGGGUAAAUUCAAUUGGCAAAAUUACAGAUACAUUGAUGGGCAUGUAGAUUAUGUUGAUUUAUGUGAUGCGGAAACAAUGUCUGUGCAUGAAAUAAACUACAUGGUGGAUAAAUUAGGGCAUUAUGGAUGUAUGGUGUAUUACUAUGUUGAGCCUGGAAAAGAUUUUCGAAAUGGGUUGAAGGAAUUAUCUACUGAUAAAGCCAUUAUCAGUUUUUGCAAUUGGGCUUAUAAGCAUAAAAUCAUGGAGGUGUACUGUGACCACCAGUCAAAGAAUGAAAUCAAGAUGAUGGCCACAAAGUCCCUUCCUUCUGAUCUACAACUGAGUAAAAAAGCCGCAGUCACCAUCGAGGAACUUGACGAAAAUGGAAAUGUUAUUAGGGAACCUGGAUUUGAACUAGUGCCAUUUACAAGAUCAAUUGGCAAGAUAGAUGUUGGGAACUCUUCUAAAGAGAAUGCCUUGAAUAAUGGGGAUGAUGGGGAUGCAAAUGAUAGAGGAAAUAUAGAUGGCCAAGUGGAGACUGAUACUGAUUCGGAUGGAGACUGUGAUCGCUUUAGUGCUGAUAGGGAUUUCUGUAGGGAUGAAGAAAUGUUAGAAGAAUUGAUUGUUGAGGGGCUAAAAUCUGGUGUGGAUUCUUCAAAUACAGAGCAACCUAGAUCUUCACAGCAUCCCAAUUCUAAUGAUGAUUGUAAUAAUGCUGCACAACAGCAAGAAUCAGUUGUAGAUGAGCUAGGCAGACAACAACAAACAGUUGGGAUGGAUCCAUGGUCACAACAAUCAGGACUUGAAACUGAAUUUGAACAUCAGCAGCAGCCUGAGACAAAUGAAGAACAACCCACGGAUGUGGGAACUGGAAACCAACAGUCGCGGAGGAAGAAGCAAGUUAGAAGGAGAAGAAACAACAAUAGAGCAUCAGGAGAAGAGGCAGCUCCUCAUUUAGAUGAUGUCCAUGCAUUAGAUAAAGACACAGUGGUGACUGAAUUGCAUAGUGAUGCUGGCUCCUCAGAUGAAGAGAAUGAUGAUGACUGGAGGAAUAGGUAUGUUGAUUUCAAUCCGGAGAGAGAUCUAAAAGACCCUAAUUUUGAGUUUCACAUAGGAAUGAAGUUUGAGUCAGCUGAACAGCUAAGAUUAGCUGUUAGAACAUAUUCCAUCAUGAAAGGAAAACCAGUAAAGCCAUACACAAAUGAAAAAAAAAAGGUUUAGAGCAAAAUGCAAACCUCCUUGCCAAUGGUUUGUUUAUGCUUCAGUUGAGAGGGAACUUGGAAUAGCUGAUUUGGUUGUCAAGAGCAUGAAUAAUGAGCACACAAACUGCAGUCAUGUAUGGAAGAACAAGAAUAUUUCUGCUAAGUGGCUUGCAAACAAGUACAUGGAGAGAUUUAGAUGUAAUGUUGAAAUGCCUCCAAAAUUAUUAAGACAAAUAGUUGAUGAGGACUUCAAAGCUGAAAUUUCAAAAUGGGUGGCAUACAAUGCAAGGGCAAUUGCUAAAAAGGAGAUUCAAGGGAAUGCAGAGCAGCAAUAUAAGGACAUAUGGAGAUAUUGUGCAGAAAUUAAGAGGACACACCCAAAUACCACAAUGGAAGUUAUGUUUACUCCCUUCAGACAACCUGGAUGCAACCCAAAAUUCAUGAGACUUUAUUGCUGUUUGGGACCAUUAAAACAAGGCUUUCUUGACGGUUGUAGGCCCAUUAUUAGGGUUGAUGGAUGCCACAUAAAGGCUGAAUAUCGGGGACAGCUGUUGACUGCUAUUGGAGUAGAUCCCAACAAUGGAUGGUGGCCCAUUGCUUGGGCAGUGGUUGAGAGGGAAGCAACUGAACAGUGGAAAUGGUUUUUUGAGCUGCUGAAGAAUGACUUGCAGAUUGAAAAUGGGUACAGCUACACCUUUGUUUCUGACCAGCAGAAGGUAUUAACUCCUUCCCUUUGUAUAUGCACAGUACACAAAUCUGUUUCAAUUUACUAAUGCCUUUUGUUUGUAAUAAUUUAUAGGGUCUUGACCGAGCAUUAUCUGAGGUACUACCAAACAGUGAGCACAGAUACUGUGUGCAGCACCUGUAUAACAACUUCAAGAAGAAACAUCGUGGACUUGCCCUGAAGACAAAACUGUGGAACAUUGCAGCAAGUACUACUGAGGGACUAUUCAAGAAAGCAUCAGCAGAUCUGGAAAAUUUUGACAAGGAAGCAUAUGAAUGGGUGAAGAAAGCACCACAUCCCAGUCAUUGGUGUAAGACUUUUUUUUCAGAACAUACUCGAUGCGAUAUGUUGGUUAAUAAUUUGUGUGAAAGUUUUAAUGGUCAUAUACUUGAAGCUAGGCAGCAGCCAAUUAUCACAAUGUUAGAGUCCAUUAGGAUAUUUCUGAUGGAGAGGAUACAGAGAAGGACAACUGCAAUGGAGAAGUUUGAAUUGUCCAUUGGCCCACUAAUUAAAAAAAUAAUUGAUGAUAGGGUGAUAGAAUCAAGACAAUGGAGGACCAUUUGGAAUGUUGUGGAUGGAUACCAGGUUAGGGGACCAAGGGGGGCCCAGUUUGCUGUUUAUUUAAAGAAAAAAUCCUGCACAUGCAAACUGUGGGAUCUAUCAGGUAUUCCUUGCUGUCAUGCUAUUGCAGCAAUUCACAGAAAUAAUGGCGACCCCUAUAAAGAGGUGUAUGACUGCUACAACAGAGAUCUGUUUCUAAAAAUUUACAAAAAUGUUUUGUAUCCUAUCAAUGGACAAGUAAUGUGGCCUGAAACUGAUGGGGUGGAUCUUGAUCCACCAGAAAGGAUAGUGCAACCUGGCAGACCUAAGAAGGCCAGGAGAAGAGAUCCUACUGAAACUCAAAAGACUGGAAACAGGUUGCGGAGAAGAAUAGUCAUCCAUUGCAGAAAAUGUGGUGUUGCCGGCCAUAAUGCAGCUGGUUGCAAGGUGCAGCAACAAGACAAUCAACAACAGCAGAAUCAGGAUAGCGAGGAGCAGCAGCAGAACCAACAGCAGCAACGUGGUUCUAAGAACAUGCAGCAGCAACAACAGAACCAACACCAGCACCAGAGUCAGCAUGAACAGACCCAACACCAACACCAGAGUCAGCAUGAACAGACCCAACACCAGCAGCAGAGGCAACAUCAGACCCAACACCAGCACCAGAGGCAACAUCAGACCCAACACCAGCACCAGAGGCAGCAGCAGACCCAACAGCAGCACCAGCACCAGCAACACCAGCAGCAGGAUCAAUAUCAGCAGCAGCAAAAUCAGCAACACCAGCAACAGAAUCAACAUCAGCAGCAGCAACAGCAGCAGGAUCAGCAACAACAGCAGAAUCAACAGCAGCAGCAGGAUCAAGAGUAUCAGCAGAACCAACAAGAACAGCAAUCACAAUCUGCUGUUGAGGAAAGUGAACAUGCACAGUAUCGACAGCAGGAAGAAGUUGUACAAAAUCAACAACAGUCUCAGAGCCAAGGGGCUCAUCAACAAAGGAAAGCAGGAAAACGAAAGUUAACAGAUUCAGAAAAGGGGCAGAUCAAUGCCAAUUAUGCAUAUUUAGGUAAAGAACCUCCUUUCACUGUUGAAAAUUGGAGAGGAAAAUGGAGUAGAGCUGGUACUAGAAGAGGAGGAACUUCAGCAACAACUACCAGAGGACAACCAAGAGUCAAAAGAGGAUCAAAUUGAAGAGGAAGUAAAGCUAUAGUUAGAUUGGGACAUAAUGCAACUACAUUUUGUCUUUUUGUUUGAAGUUUGUUUUGGAUUUGAUAUGCUGACCUAUUACGAACAUGGUCCAUAUGUACAAACAAUUUAUUUUGUCCAAUCUACACAGAUUGUUCUAUGUUAAUGCAGCACUUUUGUUUAGUUCUUAUGUCUCUGUCAUUUAUUGAUGAAAUUAGUAGAGCUGAAAUGUGUUGUUUCAAACCUUUUUUGACACCAAAUAAUAACUAUUUAUUCAUGUGAACAAUACAACUUUUAUACAUCAAAAUGUUUAUACAGAGGGGUACAAAAGGGGCUUUAUAAAGCCAUUUGCCCUUUCCCUUUCAAUAUGCUACCAUUACAACAGAGUAGCUAUUCUUCAAGGAUUUUCAACGAUGCCACAAAUUUGUAGCAUGCCACCAGAAUUAUCUAUUCUCAUAACUAACAUUGCUAAGACAACUAUUAGCCAAGGCAACACUGCGCAUCGAAUGAGUCGCUUAUUGGCUGAUUUGUACUUGGCAAUUUCAGUUUGAAGUGGCUUCAUUUUACCCUCCAAUUUCACAGCUUUUGCUUCCCACUUUCUUGCAACUUUUUCAAAUUCAACCAUUUUUUCCUCCAUUCCAUUGAUCUUUCUGAGUAGACCCGGUAUAAUCAUUGUAGAUCGAGCGCACAUUUCAUCAUCUAUCCAACCCCAAUAGCCACAGCCAUCCUUCAAAAAAAAACAAAUUCAUUAUAUUUCUUACACAAUAAUAAAUUAAGUAUCUAAAAAAAUGUUACAAACCUCCCCCAAUGCGCAUUUGGCAAAUCUUCUUCCCGGAUUUUGUGCAGUCCAUGAAGUUAUCAUUACUGUCUUCAUCCCACAAACACAAGUAGGCAAAAUGGGUGUCAACGAUGUAGGUGGCAUGGAUCUUGCUGGCCCGACUCUUGGUGGCGUUGAUCUUGGUCCUGCUUCCUCUAAUCCAAGUUGGGCUUCUUCCAUUUCCUUCUCUUGUAGUUUCUCUCGGGUAAGUAAUCUUUAUUAGUUUUAUACAAGAAGAACAAGAAGAUCUAUUUUCGACUUCCUAAAUUGACCCUACCUUUUGUAUUGGAAAUCGCGCAAACGGACACCUCUGCAAAGUUAACGACUAAAUCUAACAGAAUGGGCUCGAGUCUACCUUUUAUACAGUUUGAUGGUCAAAACCAGCCUUUUAAUAGUUGAGUGACCAAAACUCGACGAUGGCUAAAGUUUAGUGGCCACUGGGAUAAUUUGCCCUUUUAACUUUUAAAUAAUGUUAAUUUCAACAUUUCAGUGAGUUCCGUUAUAGAGGAUCAUUUUCAUCAUUUUGAUAUUUUAGUCCAAAUCAUGAGAGGAUUAUGCAAAUAAUCACUAAACCACAGGCGAGGUAAAGUGUAUUUUACUCUAAAAAGAAAAAGAGUUUUAUGGUUUAAGCUAUUCCAAAUUAUGUUUAUCUAAGAAGAAUGAAUCAUCGGUUUAGUAGAGAUGUUCUACAUUUAUAUCAUAAUGUAGAUAUAACACUCAAAAAAUAUUUAAUCAGACCAUGUGAUUAAUAAUUUUGUCACAAAGUAUAGAUUGCUUUUUUUUUUAACCUGUCUUGUCUUAUUACUCCUCAGUUGGAGGCAUACUUAUAUAAGCAUACUUAUGUUAUGGGUCCUAAUAGUUAAUGAUGCAAAAAUUGUUCUCCAAAUAAAUUUACUACCUUUUAGUCCUUCACUCAUAUUAAUUAAAAGCAAAACUUCUACAACAGUUGAAACUCCUUUGGAUUUUCACCUGGAAUAAGCCAAAUUACAUGAGUAUAUUAAUGCAAUAAAUUUGGUAACUAAAAUAUGAAUUUCUAUUUUGAGUAGCUAAUAAGAACCCAAGAAAAGGCGAACUUAAACAAAAAUGCCUCAUAUGUUUUUCUUGCCUUUUGCUUUUCUUAAAUAGAUAUUAGCUCCUUAUUUAUUUGAUUUAGAAUAAUGUUUCUUAUUCUUUCGAAGAGUUAGUUUUGGACUUACAAUGCCAUGAUUAUUUUCCCAUUAAGUAAAAAAAAUAAAAAUGUAUAUAUUAUUUUCCAAAUAUCGUUACUUCCAGUGUUAAGUACAUGAAAUGAUUUACCAUCAAGGUUAAUAAGGAGAAAAUAUUCUGAAAGAUGUUACCUUGAUUGGUAAUUCUUCCAAGUUAGCCGUUAAAAUUAGGCAUUAAUUAUAUUGAAAUUACUGGAAUCAUUGAAUUAGAAUUAGAAAUUGUAAAAUUUUGUAUUAGAAAUAUGCUAGAAAACGUGUUCAUCUUUAGAUGACACAUCUAUCAUUACCUUUAGACAUAUCACGUAAACUUCUUGUUAAUUAAACUAACCUAAAUAAAAAUGUUCAUUUCCCAGCAACUUAAACUCUGCCCAAAAGCAUAGUAGACAAAUUUGAUAGUAAAUAUAUUGCUAAAGAUGUAUAAUAAUGACUUGGAAUAUUUUUAGUCAAAGAAUAUUCACUUUUAGACUGCUUUAAAAAACUGAAUAGCUUGACAAAGAGUACAAGAUAGAUUUAAAAAAUGGUCAAAUUUUAGAUAAUUACAUAAAAAUCUCAUAAUCCUCAAUCCAUAUAAUCUGUCCAUUACUCUGCUAAUUCAAACGUUCGAGAUGGGAACUAUCUCAUCUAUUUGUAACAAAGGAUACAUUUAUAUCCACUAGUAGGAUUGAUUUUCAUUUUUCAUGCAAAAGAGCACGCAAAAAUCCUUGUAGUUCUUUCUUGCAUCACCAAUUAUUGCAAUUUUAAUUUCCUCAAUUAGUUUCUUUCAAGGAUGGAACUUAUUGGCAAUAAAAUAGCAUCAUAUUGCUGCAUUGUCAAGUUUCACAAUUAUAAGAAAUCCUCAACCGGUAAAUGAAAUGCUAAGGAAUUAUUUGUGAUCACAUUUACCAACGAAUGUAAUUUUUUGGUCCAACAUGGAUAUACCCUAGACAGUGUUUCUGCUCCAGGAGCAUAUGUCCAAAGAAAGAGCUGAAUAUUUAAAUCGAAGAUUGAAAAUUUAAAAAGAUAUACAAAAUCAGACAAUAGACUUGAUACACCUAAAUUCAAUACUUUAGGGCGGCGGUGUCAGAGAUAGACCUAGGUAUGGCAGCGACGGCCAUCAUAUCAACCUGUCUGACCCUAGUCAGAUUUUGUCCGUAAGUACCAGACGCCGAGUAACCAAAUGGGUCCAACUGACCGAGAUGGACUCACCUUAGAAGGAUGAAGACGAGGAUGAACACACCUCGGCUGAAAACAUGUUGGGUUGAGUCAUGUUGGGCCGAAAACAUGAAGAUGAGGAUGAGCACCUCGGCCGAAAACAUGUUGGGUUGAGUCAUCUUGGUGAUGCGUCGAGCCGAGGAAGCGAAGGUGAGCGUGGACAUCAGCAUCCAAGUACUAGUCCCAAUGACUAAUAACUCCCCCUCCAAUAUAAAUGCCCCUCUCCUCCUCUAUUACAGGUAAUAAAUAUCAUCUCAAUUCUUCUCAGCUGAGCCCUUUAACACUUCAGAAGCUAAGGUAUGCAUCAAAAUGCCAUCGAGGAGAAAGCGCCGACCUUCUUUGCCUUUGUUUUUGAUGUGCUGCAAGGUUCGAGGUUGGCAUUGCCGAAUUCUUGCUCACACAACAUUCAUAAUUAAAAGAAGAUCAACUAUAAUCAUCACUCAGGUUCCAAUUAAAUAUCUGCACUUCAUUCACUAUGUAAUGAAUUUCACAAGUAAGCAGUUAUAUAACAAAUAAGGAAGCCGAGUUCUAAAUCAUUCUUCGCGCAGCAAUGAGAGCAAAGCCCCAGAGUCUAAGCAAUUUAGAAACUGUAUCAACAUAUCUAAAGGAAGCUAAACGACCAUUCAUGAGGUAAUAACUCCAACCAGCCAAAUCCAAAUGAUCAUAUAAAUUAGAGCAAAUUACUCGAAUAGUUAUUGAACUUUUUGAAUAGUCAAGAUUUGACCACUCAAUUAUUAAUAAUUUGUUUUUAUUUACUCACUUUUUAAUCAAAUGUGUAAAUCUUGGGUUAUUCUAUUUGAUUCCACGGUUAACUCUGCAAGAUCUAAGAAUCCGCAUAAUUUAUGAGACAUACUAUUAAUAGUUAGAUCUAGUAGAAUUAAUUGUAAAAUCAGAUGAAAUUGUUCAAAAUUUAUACUUUUAAUAAUUCAACAGAUAAAAACAUACUAUUAAUAUUUGAGUGACCAAAGCUCCACUAUUCAAAAAAUUUAAUUGCUACCCAGAUAAUUUGCUCUAUAAAUUACUCAUCCACUAAACAGAGUUAGAGUUCUAGUCCCAUAUCAAAAAUCAACAAGUCAUCCAAUAUGUUAGAAGAUUUAUCCCCAAUGAGUUUGUGCGUAAAAACAUACGAAAUUAAGAAAGAAAAAAAAAUUGAAAGCUUUAAAAGCUAAAACUCUUUAAACUGUCCUCUAGUGGAGCCGCAUCACUUUUUUUGCUCGGUGGAUUCAGGGUGUGUUAUAUAACCUAUUACUAAGGGGGUAAAAAGAAAACUAAUUUUUCAUGCCUGCUCAUUGAAAAAUGUACUAUAUGAGAAGCAUCAUGUUCAACCAUUUUUCAUACAUAUCUAGUUGAAAUAUCAUUCUUUGCUCCAUGGUACUUGAGAGGUUUCCAAUCCUGUGAAAGAGGAGAGAAGAGAAGAAAGAAUAGACUAAUGAGUUGUAAAAGAUACAUCUAGGAUUUAAUUAGCAAAUAGUAACUAAAUAAAUAAAUAAAUCAGUAAGUUCAUAAAUGCUAAAUAGAUAAUUGCCGAGAUUAAUAUGAAUGAACUUUUUCUUGAAGAACAAUUUGAAGACUGAAGGCGGUCACUUCGGAUCGUCUUAUCCGAAGUGGUGCCAUGGCCGUGGUUCUUCUUGUCACCUAGGAUAGAUCUCGGCUAGACCUCUGCGACAUCUUGUGGGCUUCAGCCUUUAUGACCCAGAUGGCCGUCGUAUCUCGGUCGCACGCGGGUGAUGUCAGCUAGCCUGACAGGUCAUUAAGGGCCACCACUUUAACUGAAACCCCUAGGACCCUUUAUUGGAAAUAUGCGGGACCACCUGACAAGGUGCCUGAACUACUGUCCCCUGUCAGGAACAGAGGCCGCAGGUGCAGAACAGAAUCGUAAUCCUCAGGAAGCAGGACCCAGUGGCUUAAACCCACUGUCCUUCCCUCCACUCUCACACUCUAUAAAUACCCCCUGUUCACUCCUCACAAAUAAGACUACUGUUGCGCUCAUACUGUUCAUUACUCUUUGUUUUCUUUCUAUACUGACUUGACUGUCGGAGUGAUCUCAGGGGACAAAGCCCCGCCUCUCACUUCGGAACAGCACCCCUGCCUCCUAAUUUCACUUCACCGAAAGAGAGAGCUGAAUUAGGUCAGCUCGGCUACCUAGUUAGAAAUCACAUCUUCAAUUGGCGCCGUCUGUGGGAACGUAACUCUUAAGAUGAGACCUACGCGAUCUAGGAGUAGAAGAGUUCCCUCUACUGGACCUGAGCCCAGCUCCGCUGCUCAGCAAGACCGUGUAUCCGAAGAGCAAGGGUCCCCAAGGGCCCCGCCCACAAACGAAGACGCCAUCGCCCGAAUGGCCGAGUUUGUGGCAGAAAAUCCCAACAUUUUUUAGAAACUCGGAAGGUACUUCAAGCGGUAAGGGAAGGAAAAAGCCGAAUCUUCCAAAAGAAGGUCGGUCAAGUCCCCUGAGAUGACCUCCGGAGAGGACUCCGAUGACGGGCAUCCCGCCCGGAGCACUUCGAAACGCGUCUCCUCCAAAGCCACCUCUAGAAUCGUGUCCAUUUCCAAGGCGUUCUCCCGGGGCUUGCUAGGAAGGUGAACUGAGGCCAAGCCUCGGAAGCCCGAGGGGCUGGCGGCCAAUUACAUGAGGGCUCCGCCCUUUACCGAUGACAUCAAUGGAGAAUUGGUUCCCCCCAACUUCAAACUCCUAGUAUUACAACCCUACGAUGGCGGAGGUGAUCCCGAGAAUCACCUCCAUGCCUUCAUCUCAGCAUUUCGGCUGUACUGCGUCCCCGACGCUGUGGUCUGUCAAGCCUUCCCUAUUUUCCUGCAGGGUACUGCCAGGAAAUGGUUCUGGAGUCUGGAACCUACGAGCAUUUUCUCGCUGGACGAGCUGGUUGAUAGGUUUAUCCACCGCUUCGUAUCGUCUUGCCCUGUUACGAAGACCUCGACCUACCUACUGAACAUACAGCAGGCUCCCGGGGAGUCUCUGCGUUUAUACGUGCAAAGGUUCAAUGAAAAAAAAGUGCAGAUACCUGACCAAAACGAGCAGGUGACCAAAGCUGCCUUCACCAAUGGGUUGAUCGCGGGAACGUUCCACACCGAAAUUCAUCGGGACUACCCACGAAUGUUUCGGGAACUCUGGGAAAGGGUGAACUGAGAUAUCCGAAAUGAGGACCUGAAUCGCAUGAAACGGGAAGCCCAAGCAGCCCGCACUGGGCAAGACUCCCGAAGGAAGAAAGAGGCAAGCCGAGUCGAACAGGGCCCCAGCGGCUCGUCCAACCCAUUCCAAGAUCACUGGAGUGUUUUUGAAAAAAUUACGAAUGGGAGGUCGUCCACCUCGGACGCCGAGGUAACACCUCUCAACUCCAGCCAGUCUCACAUUCUGGCUGUAAUGAGACAAAAUCACCUCGGUCGAGACCCUCCUGGGAUUCUGGGGAGGAGAGAGAAGAAGAAUCUCAGCCUCUCCUGUGCUUACAACCUGGAUGUUGGGCACGAAACCGAGGAUUGUAACGAUUUGAAGAAAGAAAUCGAAAACUUGAUCAGGCAGGGAUACUUGAAGCAGUUCGUCAGCAAGGAUGGAGGCUUCAACCGAAACGCUUCCCACCGGGAAAAUCGAGGCUAUCGUCGAGAAGACAGGUGGGUCAUGAAGAGUCAUUGCCGUGGGUCUGAAAAUCGUGGGAAGGACCAAAGGCCUUCACGAAACGGGUCCCUGGGCUACGGCCCUAACAUCGCUAGGGUUAUCAACACAAUUGCGGGUAGUCCGACGGGAAAGGACAGACAGAACUCCCGAAAACGAACCUACCGUCAAGUCGGUAUAGAGGCUGCCGAGCCGAGCUCCAGGCUAUCCGAGGUGAUCACUUAUGGUCCCAGUGACCCUGUUCCUGCCACCUCCAGCAACCACGAAACUCUCGUGAUUGAAGUUCUCACCAAUAAUUACAUAGUCAAGAAUGUCUAUGUCGAUCCCGGCAGCUCGGUAGACGUCCUGUACUACAAAACCUUUGAAGGCUUGAAACUGACCAAGGAGCAGCUUACCCCUGUCAGGACCCCUCUUGUGGAAUUCGGGGGACACGUGGUCCAUCCUGAAUAGAUGGUCUCCCUGAUGGUGACCAUUGGCCACAACCCCCACUGCCGGACCGUCCCUGUAAGUUUUGCCGUGGUCAGAGCCGACUCCCCAUAUAACAUGUUGAUCGGUUAGCCCACGCUCAACGUUUUGAGGGCUGUGUACUCUACCUACCACCUGAGUUUCAAGUUCCCAACACCCGCUGGAGUGGCCGAGGUGAGUAGCGACGUGAACGCGGCCAGGGAGUGGUACCUCGCCACCAUACAGGUCGCAGUCACCCCUCGAGUUGAAUCAAAGGCUGAGGGAAAGAGGUCGAACUUCCUCUCCAUAGGCUACAUCGAUCCCCAGGACGCCGGAAAAUCCAGCAGGCUAGAGGCCGGGGACGAGGUGGAAGAGGUGGUCCUCGACGAUGUGAGACCCGACCAAGUGAUGCAAGUGGGAACAAGCCUCACAUCGCCCCUCAGGGAAGAAAUGAUCAACCUGAUAAGAGAGCACCGAAACGUCUUCGCGUGGACCGCUGAAGAAGUGGUCGGGGUGCCCCCGAACUAUGAUUCACCGACUUAACGUCGACCCACAGGCCCGUCCUGUGAAACAAAUGAGGAGGCACUUCAGCCUAGAGUGCAGGCAAGCUGUUUCCGGUGAAAUUGACAAACUCUUGCCCGCCAAGAUGAUCCGGGAAGUCCAAUACCCCACCUGACUGUCCAACCCUGUGAUGGUGAAGAAGGACGCCGGUGGGUUGAGAAUGUGCGUGGACUUCACCGAUCUCAAUAAGGCAUGCCCCAAAGACUGCUACCCACUGCCAAGAAUAGAUGCUCUCGUUGAUUCGGCCAUGAAACAUAAGAUCAUAUACUUCCUAGACGCCUUUAAGGGAUACCACCAAAUAGAAAUGAGCGAAGAGGAUCAGGAGAAAACGGCGUUCUACACUGAUCGAGGUGUCUAUUGUUACACAACAAUGCCUUUCGAGCUCAAGAAAGCCGAGGCCACUUACCAGAAGCUAGUCAACCGAAUCUUCAAAGAUCAGAUCGGCCGAAAUAUGGAAACCUAUGUGGAUGACAUCCUCCUGAAGAACCGGACCACCUCGGUCUUCCUGUCAGACAUGAAGGAGGUCUUCAGCAUCCUCCGAGAUUUUCGAAUGAUGCUGAAUCUGAAGAAAUGCAUUUUCGGUGUCAUUUCGGAAAAAUUCUGGGAUACCUGGUAUCUCGCCGAGGUAUCGAAGCGAACCCUGACAAAGUGAAGGCUAUUCAGGACAUGUCACGGCCUCGGAAUGUCCGAGAAGUGCAGAGGUUGAAUGGCCACCUUGAACCGCUCUCUCCCAAUCCGCCGAGAAGGCUCUACCCUUUUUUAAGGUGUUGAAGAAAGCUGAUCGAUUCACCUGGACUGAGGAGUGCCAACAGGCUUUCGAUCAGAUGAAAGAGUACUUACACCGCUUCCCUACCCUCGCCUCACCGUGACCUGAGGAGAGGUUAUACAUGUACCUCUCCGCGGCUGAUGAGGCUGUCAAUGCGGUGCUCAUCCGAGACCAUGGUACCCAGGUGCCCAUUUAUUAUGUCAGCCGAGCUCUCCGUGGGCCGGAGACUCGGUACACUCAGGUGGAGAAACUAGUGCUGGAAUUGGUCCAUGCGACUCGACAAUUAAAGUCUUAUUUUCUGGCCCAUCCUAUCUCAGUCAGAACUGAUCAACCUAUUCGACAGAUAUUGGUGCGUCCCGAGAUUUCCGGACGCCUUACCAAGUGGGCUGUCGAACUAGGAGAAUAUGACCUGUCAUACAAACCCCGUACGACGAUCAAGGCCCAAACAUUAGCAUAUUUUCUAGCCGAAUUUACGUUCUCCGUGAGCCAAGACGCCAGCUUAGCACCAUUCGGGCCUCAAAACUGGACGCUGUAUGUGGACGGAUUUUCCAACAGUGAUGGCAGCGGAGCAGGGCUGCUCUUAGAAGAUCCCCAUGGAGAGGUAUGCUUGUACACCCUCCGGUUUGACUUCUUUGCAACCAAUAAUGAGACCGAGUAUGAAGCUUUGAUUGCGGGACUUCGGCUAGCCCGCAAACUCGGUUCUCGACAAAUCCAAGUCUACAGUGACUCUCAACUUGUGGUAUGCCAAGUACUUGGCGAAUACGAAGUCAGGGGAGAAACCAUGCAACGGUAUCUUUUUAAAGUUCACCAACUCGCUGCAUAUUUCGAGUUAUUUCAAAUCCAAAUAAUAUUUCGGUCGCAAAAUAGGCGAGUUCGUUCUCGGCUCUCAACAAGACGGUUCUUGUAGAAAUGGUGACCGAACCCGAGUACCUGGAGGAAGUGGUCUGCCCUGUGCAUUCGGGAGACACAUGGAUGAGCUCACUCAUCCUGUUUUUGGGCCAAGGAAUCCUCCCUGAAGACCGGGUUGAGGCCAAGAGAGUACAACGCAAGGCCGCCCGCUACGCCCUCCCAGACGACGAGUUAUAUAAACGAUCCUAUUUUGGCCAAUUGCUACAGUGCAUUCCCACCGAUGAAGGGUUCUGUAUUCUCAAGGAGAUACACGAGAGCCUCUGUGGGGCACACAUCGGCUAUAAGAUGUUGGCCAAAAAGGCCCUAUUCCUCGGAUAUUAUUGGCCUACCGUUCAACAGGACGCUCAAGAUCUCGUACUUAGCUGUCUUUCUUGCCAGGUCCAUGCCUCCGAACACCAUCAACUCACGAACCUUAUGGUUCCGAUCACCUCGCCCUGACCGUUCGAGCAGUGGGGGACAGACAUCAUCGGACCUUUUCCCAAAGCUAUCGAAGGUUAUACUUUCCUUGCGACCGCCAUGGAUUACUUAUCCAAGUGGGUCGAGACUGAACCUCUAAGAAUCAUCACGGGGCUGGCGGUCCAAAAAUUCUUCUGGAAAUACAUAAUCUGUCGCUUCGGCAUACCUCGGAUGAUCAUUUCGGAUAAUGGAAAGCAGUUCGCUGAUAACCCAUUUAAAACUUGGUGCCAGGACCUCGACAUCAAGCAGCACUUCACUUCGGUAGGUCACCCUCAAGCCAACGGUCAAGCGAAAAACUUUAACCGAACUCUCUUGCACGGUCUGAAGACCCGACUAUACCGAGCAGGAUCAUCUUGGGUAGAGGAACUCCCAAGUGUCUUGUGGUCUUACCGAACCACGCUGAGAUCGGCCACACAAGAGGCCCCCUUCUCCUUGACAUACAGCUCCGAAGUUGUCAUUCCCGCCGAGAUCCUUGCGCCUAAACCCCGAAUGGCAGCCUACGCGGCCGAGGUAAACAGAGAAGAAAGACAGACGGAUCUUGACCUCAUUGAAGAAAAAAGGGACCUCGCCUUAGCACACGUGGUUUCGUACUAGAACACCUUGGCCCGUCACUACAAUGCCCGUGUUAAGCAUCGUCGAUUCUGGCCAGGAGACUUAGUCCUCCGAAAAAACUCGGUCAGUCGAGCUGAACCGCAAGGAAAACUAGCCCCAAAAUGGGAGGGUCCUUACCGAGUUGUGGAAUCUAGCCUAAGUGAGUAUUGUAAAUUAGCCUACCAAGAUGGUUCUCUAGUGCCGAGAAUUUGGCAUGCAGAGAACCUAAGGCUGUAUUAUCCUUAAAAAAUGUAAUGACUUGUUGGUUAUUCAAUCACUCGGUUAUUUUUUAAUAUUUUAGUACCCGUUGCUGCUUAUUAAAAAAUAAGGAGGACGAAUAAGGGACGAAGUGAAAAAGAAAAAGAGAGCCGAGCUCCCAUUCAUUUCAUUAGAUACUGCAAAGAAGAAAUCACUACAAGGUAAUUUGUUUACAAAACGAGUCGAAGUUAAGAAAGUUUCUAAGCAUUCUCCACUUCGACUUCCUUCUCACCAAUCCCCCCGCUGACCUCAUCCUCACCGGUAGCUUCACCUCCGCCGACCUCACCUCUUCGGCAUCCUUUCCCUCCUCAAGCUCUUGGUCAAUCUCGGACAGUCAUCUGUUGAACUCAUCCCGGACCUCGGCCAAGUUUCGUCCAGCUUGGAUACCUUCAGCCAUCCGGUCGCACAGCUCCUUGAAGUUCUCGUUGUAGUUGGCCUUACUCCUGAAGGAAUCCAAGUCUUCGGAGGAAAGGUGAGGAGCGACCUCGUCAAUGGCAGAGGUGUAGCCGAACAUAUAGCUCGGCAGGGUCAAUUCCCCGAAAUCCUUGGUGAAGGUCUCGAACCUCCUGAAAGCCUCCACAGCCGAGGCCCCGGCAUCCUCUAGUGCCUGUUGGUAGGACUUCUUCAACUCUUCCCCCCUCUUUUGCUCCUCUUCGAGAGUCGAUCUGAGGUUGUUUAUGGUAGCCUCGCCUCCUCUUCCUUCGCUUCAGCCUGCUGCAGUCGAUUUUGAAACUCAGUCUUCUCGGACUCCGACACGGCCAGCUUCUUCUCCAACUUUUCUAUUUUAUCUUGGAUCUUGCCAGAGUCUUGCUCCUUGAGCAGGUCGCUAUACCGACGUGCCAUUUCGACCACAAAAGUCGUAGCGGAAACUGUUGCCACCAUGAGGCUCUGGAUCACCUAUUGAGGAGUCAGCUUCUCGGUUCACUCCAAAUCCCUCGGCAAGUUGGAGAACAUAACCAACUCCUGGGCCGCACGAGUCUGGGUACACCGGUCAUUGAUUGAGAGCUGCCAAUUCGGGCACCAGUGCGUAUCGGGGUGCGUCUUGUCUUGCCCAAAAAAUCGAGGUGCGUCUUGUCUUGCCCAAAAAAUCGAGGUGCGCUAUGGAAACGGUUCCACAACGAAGACCCCGUGAUCGGCAUGACCGAGGACUUCACCUGCUUGCCUCGGCCAUGAGGAGGUAGGGCAACGGUGACUCCUUAUGUCGCCACCCCUUCUGGUGCUGACGAGGUGGACUCCAUAGCUGUCGCAGCCGAGUUGCUUUUGGCCGCCGCGGCCGAACUGCUUUUGGCCGCCGCGAUCGAGGUGUUCUUGGCCAACGUCGUCUUGACCACUGGCGCUUGUGUUGUCUUCUUUUUCGGCGGCGGUGCCGAUGUCUCACCCGAUCUCUUCCUCUUCGGUCUCUUAGACACCUCUGCUGAGCCGGAGCUGAUGAUGUCGGAUACUUUAACCACUGCACAAAGAGCAAACAUUAUUAUUUAUAAUAGCCGAAGUAAAGAGAAGGUUAAGAAAGAAAAGUUACAAGACUUUUUAAAUCUAGUGGAAAAGAAGGGGGGUUUCUCAGGAUCAAUGGCACCUCGGCUGAUUCCCCCAUCGACCAGAACUGCCUCAGGAUAAUCCCAACUGUUGAUCCGAAGGCCUGACCCCAUUAACUUUUGAAAGUUCUCUUCGUCCGUGUCUCCUGGGGAAGGGUCCUUCUUGGCCUUGAUGGGCUUCCACAAGAAACCCCAGGGGAAGUCCCCGACUGGGAUGAAGACGAAGUCGCGCUUCCAAUUCUUUAUCGAAGUGGGAGCGUCGACUACGAGUUUUGGGAUAGAAUUGUUCCGGUUGCAGACGUAGAACCACCCCUUAUCCUUCCCAUGUGCCUUGAAGGUGUAGCAUCGGAGAAAGAGAUUAACCGUGGGGGUCACCUCUUGAUGUCGGCAUAGCAUUUCGAACCCCACCAAGAUGCGGACCGCGUUCGGAACGAGCUGAGUGAUCCUGAUCGCGAAAUGCCGAAGUACAUCUCGAAAGAAUCUUGAGGUCGGCAUCCUCAGCCCAACCUCUAACUGCUGCAAGUAGAUCGCCACUGUGCCCAUUGGGAGCCUCUCGGCUGAGUAGUUCGGCCCAGACGACCUUAUAAUAUACCCCGCCCUGAAGGGGUAUUUUCGUAUUACCUUCUCGCUCUAUCUACUCCGACGCGGCUCUUGAACAUCAGCAUCUUGCCGAAGUCAAUGAGGGAGACGUCCCUCGGAGCGACUGGCUCCAGCACGCCCUCGUCAUGGGAGAUUUCGGUUCCGAGAUCAUCAUUGUAUACGACCUCGGAGCCAUCCUCGCUCAUCUCGGAAGAUUCCACUUCCGGGGUGGUCUCGGCGGUUUCUUCCUAGGCAUUGGACGUUCGUUCCUCAGAACUGGACGAGAUCUCGUCUUCUGGGGGAUCGAGCCCUUCCUCGGCAUGGUAGCUCGGUUUCAUGGUUUCUUUGUGGGUUUUACUUGUUCUAGCCAUGUAUAAAAGAUGAGAUGAAAAGAAGGGUACUUACUGUUGACUAGGAAAUCGGACGAGAACGAAAAUCUCGGCUGAGGUCGACUGAAGAAAUUGAUCUCGGCAACGCUCUCGAAUUUGCAGAAGUAUGAGGGAAAAUGAUGGAUAGUGCGGUAAAAGGGACCCCCCAUUUAUAGGGGUUAGAGGGAAUACGAAGAGGCAGCAAGAAUGUGAAGAGGCGGCAGCUUUAAAAUUCAAAAGGACGCGUCUCUCUCUCUCCUCAUUAAUGUCCCGUCCUUUCAACUGCCAUGUUCUCUGCACGUAGCCUCCCACUAUACCACGUCGCAACGGUUACCGAUAAUCUCUCUGCUCACCAUGUCCUUUCAACUGACUCCCCACGUGUCACGCCUCCUCACCAUCUGGUACACGUUGAGACCUCAGAAGCUAAACGGUUUCGGUAUACUGUAGCCUCGGGACCUUGUAAGCCUCCGCGCUCUCGAGGCUUGGGGGGCUUAUUGAAGGCGGUCACUUCGGAUCGUCUUAUCCGAAGUGGUGCCAUGGCCGUGGUUCUUCCUGUCACCUCGAAUAGAUCUCGGCUAGACCUCUGCGGCAUCUUGUGAGCUUCGGCCUUUAUGACCCAGAUAGCCGUCAUAUCUCGGCCGCACGCGGGUGAUGUCAGUUGGCUUGACAGGUCAUUAAGGGUCACCACUUUAACUGAAGCCCCUAGAACCCUUUAUUGGGAAUAUGCGGGACCACCUGACAAGGUGCCUGAACUACUGUCCCUUGUCAGGAACAGAGGCCGCAGGUGCAAAGCAGAGCCGUAAUCCUCAGGAAGUGGGACCCAGUGGCUUAAACCCAUUGUCCUUCCCUCCACUCUCACACUCUAUAAAUACCCCCUGUUCACUCCUCACAAGUAAAACUACUGUUGCGCUCAUACUGUUCAUUACUCUUUGUUUUCUCUCUAUACUGACUUGACCGUCAGAGUGAUCCCAGGGGACAAAGCCCCGCCUCUCACUUCGGAACAGCACCCCUGCUUCCUAAUUUCACUUCACCGAAAGAGAGAACUGAAUUAGGUCAGCUCGGCUACCUAGCCAGAAAUCACAUCUUCAAAUACCAAAUGAAGUAUACCUCUACAGUAUCUUUGUUCUGCUCAAUCUCAGUCCCAGAUGACUUACCCUGCAGAUGAAAUAAUCCAAGUUUAUAAGAUCAAAUCAGAUGCUAGACACUCAGAAAUGCUACAUUUAGCAUGGCUCAAUCUAGAAAUGACACAUAAAAACUUAACCCCCCCUCCCCCUCCCCCCCAAAAAAAAGACCCAUUGCCUGCAAUUGCACCCUCUAAAUGCCUGGCAGAGACACAUUUUACCGUACAUCUCUCUUCUGAUUCAGGUGUAACCACAGGUGCAGAACAAUCUUUCAAUCGAGUGUUGUUAUAACUACCUCUCAGUGGAUACAUUGUCUUGAUGCUUCUGCUAAAGUUGGCAUGGCCAUUAAACGUUUAUGUUCAGAAAUGUCAAAAAUUUUGAUGUUAAAUUUGCUUUAUCUUAAGUUGCAACGCAAUUCAACUUUGUAAAGUCCUGCUAUCAUACUGCUAUAGUGAGAUGACCAAGUGAAUUACCAAUAUUUCUAGUUUCAAUUGCUUAUUAUGUUGGAUGAGAAGAAGGUCAAGGCCAGAGAGAACGAGAAAUAAUAGGAGAAAACAGAAAGCAGAGUUCACUAAGUCCAAAUAGAAAAACACAAAAUUACAUGUAAAAUGAGAAUGAACAGGAUCAAUGGGCAUACCUCGUUUCGAACAAGAACUCCAACAGCAUAGAUAUCCAGCUCCAACAGGUGGCAGCCAUGGUGAGGUAAGAGUCUAGAAAGGGACCACAAGCCAACAUAUUAUAUAUAGAUAUUACUAGUAAUAUAAAUAAAUGAAACGAGAUUCAACAGAAAUCUCACAGAUAAGCAAAUCCUGGCCAUAGUAAUAACAUAAAGAUAUGAGACAAAAACUCUUUGAAGACAAAGAAACUCAUGCAUUCUCAGUUAUAGAACCAAACUAUGGACGAUCUAUGUUUUAGUUUUUAGUUCACAAAAACUUUGAUCAGCUAAAAGGAACUUUAAUACUUCAAGAAUUCUAUCAGCUUCAUUAUAUCAGGAAAAAACAAAAAACUGGAUCAUGUGGAAGCCCGUUGAGACUACGGAUUUUGCCAUCAGGAAGUAUAGCGCAAAUGCUAGGAAGUCUACCAGUUAUAAAGAUACUUCUUAUGGAUUUGCAGCGGCCUUAUCAGGUCCCUGAUCAGAUAAACUCUUAGGAGCUGUGUCACUAUGCUGUUGCAAGGUUUCAUUUAUUAGAUGUUCAAAAGCAAUUACUACAUCAAAUGACUAAAUUUCUGUCAUAAUUUUCCACGCUUGUAUUAUUCAGAUAAAUCAUAUGAGUGAUGAAAUCAAAAAGCAGGAUAUAUGCUUUGUCAUUGAAACUCUAGGAUCAGCAUCAGAGUAAUAGUUCUUGGAAUCAUACUCUAAUAACCUUAAUUUCCCUCCGUUAACGCUUGAUGUAAGAAAAUUUGCUGUUGAAGAAUUCUUUUCCAAAAGCAUAAUGCUAGAAAGCUAGCUUCUUGGGAAUUUUUUCGAAAGCAUAAUGCUAAUACAUUUGAUGGUUUCACUUCUUUUUUUUAUCUUUUCAUUAAUCUAAAUUUAUAGAGAUAGAUAUAUUUUUUACUUGUGAUUUCUUAUAUUUGAAACUUUUGAGAUUAUUUGGUACGUUGUUCAACAAAAAAAAAACAUUCUAGAUUAAAAUAUUAGGAAUAUUAAAUACCCAUAUGAGACAUUAUGAUGUAAAAGUUGUACUAGUUAAGAUUCGAAUUAUAUUUCAUAUAGUUCUAAAUUUAAGAAAACAAUUAUUCCAUGCUAAACUGAACGAUAAAUUUCUAGAAAAAAGAAAAAAGCUAAAACAACUUACCAGAGAGAUAAUUUGUAUAUCAUCAGCUGGUUUUUUUUUUUUAUAAUUCUAAACAAUCUAUUCUUAAGAUAGAUAAAGUUUAUGAUUGGAACAAACGCCCUCAUGCCUAUAUAAUAGAUUAACCAAGAAUUAAUUUUAAAAAAAAAACAAAAUGCCUUAUUAUUUGUCAAAGUGGGUGAUGUCGUUUCAUCUCUGCUGGAACAUUUUUGAAGAGUUUGCCUUGGUUCCAGAAUCUGUUGUAUUACCGAUUCCCAGUCAAGCAAUUUCAACAGGCGUGGUCUUUUUAUAUGAGAACAUCACCACGCCUUCUGUUAUCCAAAAGCCCAUCAGAGGCAUUUCUCCUCUACUAGCUAGCACCACGCCUUCCAGUUCCACAAGUAGUCACCACUUGAGAUAGGGCUCUCCCAAUAUUUUACUGUCUUAAAAUUUUCAUAAUACAUAGCUGCAAAAUGGAAAAGAAACAAGAAAAAGGAGAAACCCCCCCCCCCCCCAAAACAAAGGAAAGGGCAAGAAGCCAAGAACUCCAUAGUUUGUUCUAGUCUACAAGAUGGAAACAAAAUUGAGAGUUAUCCAUGACAUAUCAACGAUAAAAUCUCUCUUUUUAAAAACCACUUAAAUUUAGCUAGAUUUUUUGGGUUAAAGCAAUGGAAAGAGGUGUCUACCUUCAAGCUCCAAAAGGGGGGAAAUGGGGAAAAAAGGAAAGAUGAAGAAAUAAGUCAAAAUAAUUAUAAUUGUCAAUCAAUAUAUUUCAUAAACUUAAGAUUUUUAUUUUUUGAACAAAAUGAACUCAAGAAUUAAGAUCAGACAAUAAGCCCGAAAGUCACACUAGUGAUAAAGAUAUUGUAUGGCUCUUUCACCUUUUUGCUUUUCAUUUAUGUGCUUAAUUUGUACAUUCUUAUCAUUCCCUUUGCCAAAUUUUUCAUUAGAUAUCACAUAAAUGAGAGGUUUUAUUAUGAUGUUAUAAAAGUAACAAAGUGCCAUUAACAAAUAGAAGAAUGCCCAAUAUCACCUCACAAUCCUAAAAAUAAAAAUACCAUAAUUACCAUUUUGACUCUUAUCCCAAUGAUCUUUUGUUCCCUUCUCACAUUACUCUAGGAUGGAACCUUGGGCCAAGGCAUGUUAUCUGAACUCUAUCACUACGUACAAGCAGCAGACAAGGAAAAAGUAGACCAGGAGACAAUCUUGUUCAAUAUCCUUGAACUGCUCUGAAUAAAGUUGAAAAAGCUAAAAAUUCCAAAGUUGAGUUGAUUAUAACAGUAGCAAUUUUUGACAAAAUUGCAGGUCUCUUUGGCAUCUGCUUGAUUACAACAUAACAUAGGAUUCUUACGCUACAGCCUGCUUUUCACCUUAUAUUCUUGCCAAAUCUUAGAAGACAACUCUUCUCCAUCACUGAAAUUUUGUGUAGCAGUAGUAAUAAUGUCAUCAAUGAUGAGAGGAAAUUCAAGAUCAUCAAUUGAAUCAUCCUGCAAUGGAAUUGUUCGUAGAAUGGUAAGCCUUCCCAGGAGCAUUUUAGGGGGUGUUUCCAGAGCAAUGGGACAAGGUAUGGACUUUAUUCGAAUAGGAGGAAGAAGACACCAUCCUCAUCAACAUCAUCAUCUACCAUUAGCAACAGAUUUUCCAUUUGAGCAAUAUCCCUCAUCAGAUCCUCCCGUGAAUGAUCCAUUCAAUCAACCUUCACAGAAUUUUCAGCAGCAACCGAUGGUACAAGAGGAAUGGGCAUUUCUAGCAAGUCUGGAGCAGGAAUAUGGCACAAAUCAUCCAUUUUUCUACGUUUGUCGGUUCAUGGAUGCUCUGAAGAUGGCUCAAGAAGAGCACAAGUUCAUUUUCCUGUACUUGCAGUCCCCUGAGCACCAAUUCACUCCCUUUUUCUGCAGGGAGACUUUAGGUUCUGAGCUGGUUGUUCAGUUUCUUGAUGCAAAUUUCAUUAGCUGGGGAGCACUUGCAAACAGAGGGGAGGGGUUCCAUUUGGCUUCAACAUUAAGGGUCUCCAACUUCCCAUUCUGUGCUGUGGUUGCUCCAGCUUCUGCUGGCAAUUUAGCAGUUCUGCGACAGGUAAGAGGAAAUUUUAUACAGAAACUUCAUUCCGUUUUGAAAUGUUUAUAAGCCUAACAUUUGUUCAUUAUGUGCACCUGAAUAUGAAACCUCAACAUGACUAGAAUGCCUAUUGCCUAAACUAGUUGGUUUUGUGUACAAUCAAAAGGUUCAGUAUAAAAAGAUUUUAAUUGUCCUGCAUUUCAGAUUAAAUUAUCAGCAAAUAGGAACAAAGAUAUCCCCAAAUAUUAGGUGUUGGCUGAUAUCUCAGGUCAAAGUAGCUAUAGCCCGUACUACCUGGGAUUCUGCUUUCUCAUUUUUGCUGUGAAUAUGAUCGCAAAAGAAGGAAAAUACUCCCAAGAAAGUUUAGAUUUAUCUUUUCUGAUGAUAUGGUCAUGCCUCUUGUAAUGGUAGUAUAGUGCACUGAGGGGAGACUACUAGCCAUGAUUGGGCUCAUACAUCAAAGCAGCAUCUUUUCCAUCUUUUUUUGAUGUGUUUUCACAUUGAAAUUCUCAAGUGUUAAUUCAGUUGUUUCAAUUUCAAGACAUGUUCUUCCAUGAAAAAUCUGAUGCAUCUGAACUUCCUUACCAUCAUUAUACAUUGAUAUGUCACAUGUAUUUGAUUUGUGAAAGAAGGGAAACUCUCUGACUUGCCCUGUGUAGAUUGAAGGUCCAGUCUCCCCUGCUGAAUUGGUGGAGAUACUACAAAGGACCAUGGAGGAGCAAGGACUGGCAUUUGACAGUGCAAGGGCCAACGAGGAAGAAAAAAGAAGAGCAGAUCGUAAAUUGAGAGAAGAACAAGACGUUGCCUAUGUUACAGCCCUCCAGAGAGAUCAGGUGCACUUUUGCUCAAAAUUAGUCAAGCUUCGAUUAAGUUAAUGUCUGAAUCAAACCAGUAGGAAACAGGCUUUCCCAUUUGUACAGGAGAAGGAAAAGCUCAGGAGUUUCGCUUCAGAACAAAGAGUUUCAAAAGCUGCAAGUGCCUCCAAUUCAUCUAAUCAAGAAAAAACCAAGCCACUUCCUCUAAAGCAGCAAAACAACCAAAUCAAGGAUGGCCCAAGAGCAGGAGGAGCUAUGCAUAAAGGAAAUGCUCAAGAAACCAAGGUAUUUGAUCAAGACUUAUCCUCUUUAUAGUCUUGUAAGAGUAUGCUUUGGUCCAUAAUAUUUCAUAUGCCCAUUGAGCUUGAUCUGAAGAAUGAACUCCUCAUCUUUCUGUGUAGAUAUUGAUAAGGUUUCCAAAUGGGGAGAGAAGGGAACACAGCUUCUUGAGCACAGACAAGGUUCAAGCAAUUUUUAGGUACAUUAAUUCAUUAGGCUUGCCUGGAGUUGGCGGCAAUUACAGGCUAAUUUCUAACUUCCCAAGAAAGGUGUUUAGUGUUGAUCAGAUGGGAAUGACGCUGACAGAGGCAGGCCUCCAUCCAAAAGCUAGCAUGUUCUUGGAGCUUCUUUGACCAUAGAAGUUUCUUUUCCUUGGUACGUUACUGAAGUUUCAGAAUACAAAUUAAAGAAAUGUUUUCAGCAUCUCACUUUGUUGUUAUGGAGACUUUGGGUAGCAAGUAAUAUUAUUUAUAAGUAAUAAUAAAACUUUUGCUAUAAUUCGUUACUUUCCUUUCUAUAACAAAUUUCAAUCAACGUAGUGAUUUUCUACUUUAUAUAUGUUUUUUUUAUUGAUUUUGUCUUUUUUUUUAAUCCAUGAAUCUACAGUUCCAAAUGCUGUUCAGUUUCUGUUUUUCUAAGUUGAUGAUUUUGCCUACACCCACACACACACAUAUUUCCCUAUAAUUCAUCAAUUAUAAAUUUCAUUCUAAUUAAUUUCCUUUCACUCUCCAGCAUACCAAAAAAAAGAUAUAUUCUAUCUCCUAAUUAGAAAAUUCAAAAUUAGUUACCUGUUUUUUUGCAAUCACGAUCGCAUGCUGCUUAUAUGGAUAUCUUUUGUUCUUUUUCCUUUACAGGAUUUUUUCAUAUUAAUUUCUUUUCUUUAAAUUUUUUUAAAAAAGUAAUCAAAUAUUGAUUAUACUUUCUAAGGUUUGUUAAGAAUUAAUCAUUAUGUUGUGUAAGGGUAACUAUUUUUAUACAUCUUUUAGUCUCAAUAUUUUGUUUUAUAUUUAGUAUUUUAAAAUUUAUUAAAUUUGUCAUCUUAGUGCUUUUGUAUCCAUGACCAUCUGAAAGAAAUAUCGAAGAUGAAAAGAAAAGCUCGUGCAAAAGACUAGUUCUUAGAUAGAAGAACGUUUAGGCUGAAGUGGCUCAGGGUAACUACUGCUUUGGUGCUUGUCCUCUUCCAAAGGAUCCACCAAAUACAGUAACUAAUCCUGGACACUGAGCUAAUAAGACAGUAAAUAAUCCUGGCCAUGAAACUAAUUUAAGAUUAGUGCUGGCAAUCCAAUUCAACCAAAGAAGUAAAGGCGCACUCCAGCUCGGAAUCAGCUGCUUAGAACUGUUUUAUCUAUACCACCACGAAGCUCAUUCCUGCAAAUUUCUGGUGGGAACAGAGACUUGCUUAAGCCCGCAGCCCUGCUCUCACGCCAGCCUUGCUUGUACACCCUAGAUAUGCAAGAGACGUUUUUUCCAAUAUGCAAAGCUAAAAAUUGUCUAAUCCCGGCAGAGAAUAUAUCUCGAAGAGCAAAUUUCGAAACUUACCAUGCAUGUGAUACGAAAACAUGUGCAGAUGCUGACUGCUGAGCGUUUGCCUUUGUAAUGGAAAGAUCCUAACAUGCAUAGCUGGCUGCCUUGCCGCUUUCCCCUUCAUCCCCAAUCCUUAGGAUGAAUACUGGGGAUCAUAUGCUUUAGACUGCCAAUUUAGGGAGCACAUAUGGUGCAUACAAAGAAGCAGCAAGUGAAAUAAGUCCUUGUUAUUUAACCAACACACUUACCCGCUUAAUCAGUAAAAUUAAUAUAUCAAAGAAUCAUAAUCUACUCUUUAACAGUAGCCGAUACUUGAAAUCCAAAAGCCAAUUAAUUGCAGUGCAUGCAGUAAUAUGGCUUCUGCCCUAGAUGGCUCUUCAAACCAAAAGAAGAGAUUCCACCCAUAGCCAUCAAAAAACAAUGCAUGUAAUUAACACGGACCACAGGAUUGCAGAUGGCGCAGCAAAAGAAUUGCAAAAGGCUUCAAAAAAUGGUAGCAUCAAUUAAGGUAUCAAAAAGAUUUCUUUUCAUAAGAUACCAAACCAUGAACUCCACCUUCGACUUGUGCUGCUCCACUUCGAACCUG